rnacentral:lncRNA from 1 species
GCCCCUGCCGGUGGUCAGGGCCGGCAGGCCCGCGGCGAGGAUGACGGUCGUCCGGGCGUCCUCCGCGUCCGUGCAGGAGAAGCUCACGGCCGGGCUGACCGCGGCGGCCGUGGCGGCGGCGCUGGUGCUGCCCGAGGUCGCGGAGGCCGCGUCCCCGGGGCUGUCCCCGUCGCUCAAGAACUUCCUGCUCAGCAUCGUGUCCGGCGGGGUCGUCUUCGCCGGCAUCGCCGGGGCAGUCGUCGCCGUCUCCAACUUCGACCCCGUCAAGAGGACCUGAUCGCCUCGCCGGAUUCUCAGGGCACGUCGCCUCGCUUUGUAUCUCCAUAAAUCUCUUUUCUGUGUUUUAUUCGGAGACUCUGUACGUAGAAGAGAUCCAUGACAAUGGAGUUCUGAUUAAUGGCUGUGUAUACUCUGGUUCGUCUGCUUAAACUCAUGCUUGCGGGCUGUAUCCAGUAAUUGGAUGUUUGUUUACUUCUGAAGCUACUUCCCCCUUUCCAAAUUACUUACAGCGUGCUCGGCAGUAUGAGGGAAAGGGAAUGGAAGGUUACAAGAGGGAGUAUGUCUAGAUAUUAGACUUGAGAAUUACUAGAAUUUUAGUCUCAAUCUCCAUUUUGAUGUGUGGUCGGAAUUAUCGGUGAGUUGAAUUAACAGGGGGCUUGGGAAGAGAGACCAUGAAAUUGACCUCUUUUAUUUCCUUUCCCCUUCUCUCCUCAAUUCCCUUGCCCCUAGCCAAACAAUGAAUAAUAUGUCUUGUAUCCUUAAACUCUUGUUCCCUAUCACAAAUUGCCUCCAACCAAACAUGCUUUUAGUUUUAGGUUGAUCCUAAAUCGAACUUCUUUAAAUUUGACCAAAUCUAUAGAAAAUAUAUCAACAUUGACACCAUUCAAUUACUUUCAUUAGAUCCAUCAUAGGAUAUACUUUUAUUCAUAUACGCGCUCCGUCCCGAAUUACUUGUCGCGGAAAUGGAUAUAAAUUAAUGUAUCUAAAACUAUAAAUUCAUCUAGAUACAUUCACUUCUGUGACAAGUAAUUCAAACGAAAAAAGUAUAUUUCUGAUGUUGUAGAUAUUGGACUUUUUUAUAUGGUCAAACUUGAAGAAGUUUGACUUAGACAAAACCAUAACUUCAACGAAUUUGGAAGGGAGGUAGUACCAACCAGUGCAACUUCUUUUCACCUUUUAUCAAAAAAAAAUUGAAUCCAAUGUUUGAUUCUUGCCUUACGGAACGAACGUCUGUUGCCAUCCGAUGUGGGAGGAUAAACAAUGAGACGAGGAAGAAUCGGCGGGCGGAGGUGGCCGACUGCCGUUCAUGGACAAAAGUGGGCGCCGCUACCUCCAAUUAUCACACAUUGGCGUCACGAUAUGGGUAUAGGUGCAGGGUGUGGUGGUGACUUGGUGUUCGCACAAACAAUACUAGUGCUCCGGAUCCGCGACGCGCUCAUCAACCUGAUUGGCACCAUUGUUAUAUGUCUCGACGCAACAGGCCAGUGAUGGGGCCCUAGUGGUGGUGGUGGUGGUGGUGGUGGUGGUGGUGGUGGUGGAGGUAAACAAGAUACAGAGAGAAUGAGGAUAUAUAUUUUGACAAAACACUAAAAGCAUUAUCAGGGUUGAACUGCCUCAUCAACGAGACAACAUGGGAAAAACCAUCUUUUGAUGGGCUAUUUAACACAAUUAUUAGCCAAAAUUGAUGGAAGUGUCGUAUUAGUAACAAAUUUAGACCAGUGUCUAACAUGGAUUUUUUUCCAUAACCAAAUAGGGAAACACAUUACUAUUUAGGGUUAACUAAGGAAACAUUUGUUGUCUGGGUGCAAAUAGUUUUGUGAACAACAACAAUUCCAUCAAAUUGCUAGGAGUUUCAUAUUUGAUCCUUCAUUCCCAUAUAUUUCUUCAAUAAAAAAAAUUGUGUUUGCGUUAUAGGUAUCAUGUCUAAUUAGUUGUGCAAUAUAUUUAUUUAAAUUUUCUACAUUGUUUAGAUUCUGCAUUCAGCUAACUAUUGUGAUAUUUCUUUUUAAAAAGAUUUUUGCGUACCUCCCUCAUAACAAUAAACAUACGCUCCACCCAUAGGGAAGGGAAAGAGAAUUCACUAGCAAGUGUCAGCAACCCCCUUUCUUAUACCCUCUGCUCUAAAGAUUUCAGAUUCAAAGAAUAUGGUUCAAGAAGGUCACAUUUUGGGGGGGGGGGGGCUUCUUGGUCUGGCCUUUCUAACAUCCCUGUAUUUUUCGUAUGAUGAUUUAUAGUCGCCUCUAGACUUGCGUCGUCUCAGUGUUCNNNNNNNNNNNNNNNNNNNNNNNNNNNNNNNNNNNNNNNNNNNNNNNNNNNNNNNNNNNNNNNNNNNNNNNNNNNNNNNNNNNNNNNNNNNNNNNNNNNNNNNNNNNNNNNNNNNNNNNNNNNNNNNNNNNNNNNNNNNNNNNNNNNNNNNNNNNNNNNNNNNNNNNNNNNNNNNNNNNNNNNNNNNNNNNNNNNNNNNNNNNNNNNNNNNNNNNNNNNNNNNNNNNNNNNNNNNNNNNNNNNNNNNNNNNNNNNNNNNNNNNNNNNNNNNNNNNNNNNNNNNNNNNNNNNNNNNNNNNNNNNNNNNNNNNNNNNNNNNNNNNNNNNNNNNNNNNNNNNNNNNNNNNNNNNNNNNNNNNNNNNNNNNNNNNNNNNNNNNNNNNNNNNNNNNNNNNNNNNNNNNNNNNNNNNNNNNNNNNNNNNNNNNNNNNNNNNNNNNNNNNNNNNNNNNNNNNNNNNNNNNNNNNNNNNNNNNNNUCUUCUACAACAUAUUUGAUUUGAAGGUAUUUUUACAUGGAAAAUCAUGUUUAUUGCUUAGCUAACACAUUUACUUGAUCUAUUAAACAAGAUUUGUUUUAUAUCUUCUAAAACUCUACAAUGCCUCUAUGGUGAUUCAUAUAUCUAUAUUGAGGUGCAUACUCUACUUACAAGGUGUAAGAACCAUGUGAUUACAAUAGGCCACAUGCUGGUGCUGAUUGUUGUACUAGUUGUAGCGACUCACCUUUCCAUUUCUAUCCCUAUUCUCUAAUUUGUUUGUUUUCUAAUUCAGGUCAUGACACUGGUAACUUCAAUAGUGUUUAGUGGAAAUUGAAGCAAAUGCGUCCCUAUGUGAAGUGUGUAUGAUCGUUUGACAAUAAUGGUUUGUUCCAUGAUUAUCGAUUGGGUUAUAGUACUUCGGAGAUCGGUGAUGGUUCAAUCUUUUUUUAUUGUUGGAACGUGUAUGAUGCAUCUAUGACUAUAAUGCACCAUGUUUUAUGUUCUCAUAUUUCUUUUUUUUUUCGAAUGGCCACCCAUGGUAGCACUCGUCAGGUGUUACAUUCAGAUAGCAUAAUGGGCCUUAAUUGAGCAGGAGCAUCUGCAAUUAGCGUCAGGUCAUCUUCCCUUCUAGCUUUACCGCCAACUCAUGCGCCAAUAUGUUCCAUAUACCUAGGGAGAGGAACUGAUGUUGUAAACCUCAAAUAUAGACAAAGCAGCGUUUGACUCUGAUGAGGACAUGACUACCUUGGAUACGACCAAAAAUAUUGCAUACAUGCAUAUUUGUCAGGUGAUUUCUAGUGCAAACUAUUCAAUAAUCUAUUUAUGUUAUCCAGAACAAAAAUACUUCACACACUUUUGUGUUUUGUCUAAUUGCAGGUGUAUGGGAUAUUUGUACAAUUCACAUAUGAAGAUAAGGGAGAAAGAUAUGUUUAAGUGCUGUUCAAAAAGUUCUCUCACAUCACUUUUGGGCCAAGAGAAGAUAGAGUCCAAAUCUCUCACGUUCUAGAUUCAGAUUCGGACUGCACAGAGAUACCUGACUCAAAACGCCAACAACUUUUUCAUACGGACUCCGAAUUGGGUGAUUUUUUUUGUUGGAUUCUAGAUUUUGUGCUCUUUCCAGCUCAAUUGGAUUCACCUUCAAAUUCGUCCGGAGCGUUGAGAUAUCGACGAAACAAUCAGACGCUGCAGCAGAAUCCGAGUCAAACAACAAGUCCAAAGGUGCUGCAUCACCUCCACUUGGGCCCAUUGACCUUGUACGACCUAGGGUUAGUUUUAGGCUGCCUUGAGACGUCCUCCCACCUCCUAGGCCGCCACCCCUUGCUCCUAUAUAAGUAGAUCCAUCUAGUAGCUUUUCCCUUGGGAUUUGUUUAGUUAAAAGUUAGCCAUUGCAACUUCGUGUACUUCGUUUGUGUCCAACGACCAGACCAAGACCGCGUACGGAUCCCCGCCUUUAUCAAUACUUCAUAUAUUCUCGCAAUAUUCAGAUUGCUUUUAUCAUAUUCUUGCUAGUUCUUCGAUUGCUUGCAGGAAUAGACCUUCGUGGUCAGGCUGACCGUGCUUCCGGCAUCGUCAGUAACCUCAGGAGAUUGGUUUAGCGAUUGCUAAGGCGCAACGUCGUGCACGUUUGUAGUCGGAUCAUCAAAGUCAUCUUCACCAAAUCGAUAGUUAUCAUCUCAUCGAAUGAUCGGGACACCCCGCCUCUAUCAAGUGGUAUCAGUUUUCAGGUUGCUCGGUGAGAAUUUCCUGUUUUUUCUAGAUUAGAUUUAUUUUCUUACCUAUUGUCCAAGAAAAAGCCACAAAAAAGUUAGAUCUAUUCAUCCUUUGUCCAAGUCAGUCUGAGCCUUUGCAAUUUUCUUUUCAUUAUUUGCAUUAUUGAAUUAUCGGUUUCAUCGUCGUGUCGAGUUGCUGGUCUUAGUGUCUAGUUCGUUUAGAGUUUUGAGUUCUGUUCACAUUAGUCACGCCGCCGCUGCAUCGUCAUCCCUUCCACUGUCCACCACCCAUCCAUCAAAUUCCACCAUGUGCUACCAACCGUUCAUUGUCAUAAUCAUAGUUGAGAUCGUUCACAUCUUCGCUUGAUCCAAUCUGCAUCUUAUCUAGUUUGUUUUGGAAAGAGAGAGACAAAAAAAGACGGAAAAAAGAGAGAGAAAAAAGUAAAAAAAGUCAGAAAAAAAGAGAAAGAAAAAGAAAAAAAAGUGUGAGAAAAAAAAGGAAGAGAAAAAAAACAAAAUUCGGAUCUAUCUAGACUCAAUCUCGUAGUUGAAUUCGGAUUGAAAUCUGUUUUGUGCACUGUUCAGUAAAACAGGCAUAACUUCCUCAUACGAAGUCCGUUUUGGCUCCACAAUUACUCAAAUUAAAGCUAGCGACUAGACGCAUCUGAAUAGUUGCAAAAGCUAUAUUUGGCGUCUCAAAAUCAGCUUCUAAAUAGGUCAUUUUGCCCUCUGAAGUUCGCGCAUACAGUUUGUUCCAGUUUUUCAGGCCAGUUUUAGAAUUCUUUGACUCCUCAUAUCAAUUCGGAAUUGAGUGAUUCUUUUUGUAUUGGAAAGCUUGAGUUAGUAGCAAACUUUUCAAGGGGAAAGUUGGAGAGAGAGUUCUUAUAUAUCCUGCUUGGCAGUUGUUAUUCAUCAUUAUCUUUACUAUCGUUGUGAUCUUCACUUAUAUCUGGCUGUCCAGAGCUACUUAUCCUUCAUUGAUGCUAGUUGUGCUAUGUCGUGACCUCAUUAGUGUUCUAGGCUCGCGUCUCUAGUCCGGUCUAGCCUAGGACCAGCACAGUAUCGUUGUUGAGCGUUUAUUCAACAUUGCAUCUUUGAAUUUAUUAUUGCUAAUCUUUUGCUACCAUAUAUAGCCAACCCAGCUCCACAUAUUUCUACACCGUGUAUAUGUACGUUCCCCUGGCAAUCGCUUUACACAAUCUCCAGAGUUAUUUGACACCGCUGGUUGCCUGUCACCACCUAUCGCAUGGUAAGAACUUGUAAGAUAUUGAUAUUUGCUUUACUGUGAGCACGUUACAACCACAUCCUAGUUGUUCAUAGGAACAUUAUUCUCGAAUUUUGUUUCUUGUUUCUACUAAUCAUGACAGGUUCCGGAGAAAGAAGUUCUUGGACGACGAACACAUCUUCACCAUCACGAGAGUUGGGACAACACACACAAGCACAUGGUCAGGUUAUCUCUUUACCAUCAUUUGAGGAUAGAUUUAAUCCUGCUAUUUAUCUAGAUUGGGAGCUUGAAGUAGAACAAGUUUUUAGUUACCAUGACUUUUCUGAACUUGAGCGAGUACGAGCUGCCACUAGAGCAUUUACUAGUUUUGCUUCUGUUUGGUGGAGUGUGCAUUAUAAGAAAAACAUUGAUAACCAACCCACAACUUGGAAAGAUUUGAAACAUGUAGUGAGACAACAAUUUUUCCCUCCUUACUAUCGUCGGGAAUUGCUUCGCAAAUUUGAACAAUUUAAACAAGGCAAUAACACUAUUCAUGCUUACUAUCAAGAGUUCAAAUCUUAUAUGCAUCAUUGUGACAUAGAAGAAUCUAAGGAUGAUACAAUGAAUAGAUUUUUUGGUGGUUUGAACCAUGAUAUUCAGGCAAGAUUUAGGUAUAUUCCUCGUUGCAUUACUGGUAUGUAUGUUCGUGCUUGUACCUUUGAGAGACAGUUACAGGAGGAUGUAUUGGGUGACUACAACAACUACUAUUCCAAUUCAUGCUCACUACCAUCGGUUGAUUCCUCCACCGUUGCACCUACUAGAUCAGCCACACCUCAGAUUGUGAGUGCGACAUCAUCUCAAGUGUAUGGUACAUUGUCAUUGUCCAUACCGACAUUAGCUACGUCUUUGCGACAAGGUAACAGUAAAGAUAUUGAUGAUAUAACUUCACAUGAGAAUGAUGCAUCCCUAAUUAACUUAAAUACAUCAUGUGUUUAGUUACCUAUUGAUUUGAGCACGCCACCUAUUUUAGAGAAUCAUGUUAUUAUCAUGAAUGCAUCAUGUGAUCAAACAACUGAAAUACCAACAAUUUUGAGUGCACCCAUUGAAUUAACUAUUGAUGCAAAAGAACCAAUGUUUAAUCAUUUUGAUAUGACCUCUAAUCUUAGUGAUGAUUCUGUGUCCAAUGACUUAUUGCAUGUUUGCUUAUUUAAGCAUGUUGUAGCAUGUAAAUUUGAUGCAAGUAAGGUUUAUUCACCAAUGUUGGGAUGGUUUAAUGAUGAAUAUUGUCAAUCUUUUGAUAGGAAUAAGAGCUUCACUUAUAUGUGCAAACUGAGUUGCAAUAUUUUAAUGCCUUCUACUUAUGAUAAUAUUUUGGCUUUAUAUUUUAUGAUCUAUGAAAGUUACUCAUGUAUACAUGUGUCAUAUGUGCAAAAAUCAAUGGAACUAAAAAUGGAUGACAUAUACAUAUACAACAUGUAUACCUUGUCUUUUUUGUUAGCCACAUUUCAGAUUAAGCAACGCCGAGGACAACUUUGUUUUCAAAAAGGGGAGGAUGAUGAGGACAUGACUACCUUGGAUACGACCAAAAAUAUUGCAUACAUGCAUAUUUGUCAGGUGAUUUCUAGUGCAAACUAUUCAAUAAUCUAUUUAUGUUAUCCAGAACAAAAAUACUUCACACACUUUUGUGUUUUGUCUAAUUGCAGGUGUAUGGGAUAUUUGUACAAUUCACAUAUGAAGAUAAGGGAGAAAGAUAUGUUUAAAUGCUGUUCAAAAAGUUCGCUCACAUCACUUUUAGGCCAAGAGAAGAUAGAGUCCAAAUCUCUCACGUUCUAGAUUCAGAUUCGGACUGCAUAGAGAUACCUGACUCAAAACGCCAACAACUUUUUCAUACGGACUCCGAAUUGGGUGAUUUUUUUGUUGGAUUCUAGAUUUUGUGCUCUUUCCAGCCCAAUUGGAUUCACCUUCAAAUUCGUCCGGAGCGUUGAGAUAUCGACGAAACAAUCAGACGCUGCAGCAGAAUCCGAGUCAAACAACAAGUCCAAAGGUGUUGCAUCACCUUCACUUGGGCCCAUUGGCCUUGUACGACCUAGGGUUAGUUUUAGGCUGCCUUGGGACGUCCUCCCACCUCCUAGGCCGCCACCCCUUGCUCCUAUAUAAGUAGAUCCAUCUAGUAGAUUUUCCCUUGGGAUUUGUUUAGUUAAAAGUUAGCCAUUGCAACUUCGUGUACUUCGUUUGUGUCCAACGACCAGACCAAGACCGCUUAUGGAUCCCCGCCUUUAUCAAUACUUCCUAUAUACUCGCAAUAUUCAGAUUGAUUUUAUCAUAUUCUUGCUAGUUCUUCGAUUGCUUGCAGGAAUAGACCUUCGUGGUCAGGCUGACCGUGCUUCCGGCAUCGUCAGUAACCUCAGGAGAUUGGUUUAGCGAUUGCUAAGGCGCAACGUCGUGCACGUUUGUAGUCGGAUCAUCAAAGUCAUCUUCACCAAAUCGAUAAUUAUCAUCUCAUCGAAAGAUCGGGACACCCCGCCUCUAUCAGACUCAAAUAUCAUCGGAAAGCAUGCUGAUGGAUUUGACCUUCCAAUGUGCAGCUCUUUUGCAAUGAGUGCACAGUCCAAUUCAAGAAUUAUGGGGCCUCUGUACAUUCUCGGCAGGGAUUUUAAGUCAACCACAGCAGCGCAUCCCUCGACCUCCACAACUGACUCGCACCGAACCAUGGGCCUGCUAACUGAGACCAACAGAAAACCCCUAUGAUCUCUGGCAACAACACCGACACAACUCUCGCUCGAUUCAGUCAAAAACACUGCGUCCGAGUUUAUUUUGACAGUUCCGACCAGGGGGCUAUCCUAGCGAAUCAAUAGUUCCUCUGGGGGUCUGGGAAAGCUGUUCGACAAGGACCACAUGGUUUUGCCCUGACCAUCUUCAAUCGACAUAGUCAGGAUUCUGAUUUCCUCCUCGAAUAUGGUCAAGAACUGCACUAAUCUCGAGAUUAGUUCCUUGCCAUAAUUAUGAACAACAAUAUCAUGUACUCCUUCCGUUUCAUAGUAUAAAAGCGUUUUUGACACGAUACCAAGUCGUCCAUAACAGCAACAAAACUUUACUCUAGUUUCAGUAUUACACUUAUCUAUAAAAAAUUGCAGCCAACCCUUGCCAGUGUACCAAAAUUCUUUUUCUUCAGGCAACACCCUGCCAGCUGCGAACCAGGUGGAUCUGGCUCGAGGCUAGUGGCGGAGACAGGGGAGACCAGCAGGGGCCCUGGCCCCCCCUAUGACUGCUGAUUUGCUGCUAGUUUAUACAUGAACAGUGUAAAAUUUAGACAAAAAUGCAUACAUUAAUAUUGGUUGGCCCCUCUUAUCAAAAGAUUGAGUCAUUUGGCCCCCCUAAUCUUUAAUUCCUGGCUCCGCCGCUGCUCGAGGCAACCAACCCGUCUCGGCCCUAGGAGCCGGUGGUGCAACAAAUCUUCCGUGCAUCGACGUCCUGGAUCCUGGGCGAUGGCAAGCAGCGUCGUUUCUGGACUGGCCCAUGGCUUGAUGGGCGCUCCAUCUCUGAGCUGGCGCCCCCUCUCAUGACGCUGGUUCCACAGCGACGAAGGCACUAAGCUCGUUUGCAAGGCCAUCCUCGACCGCGCCUGGUCGCCCUGGGAGUGGUGACCACGUUGCAAUAUGUUGACAUCAUGCGCAUGCUCCAAUGGGUUUUUCUCUCCAAUACCCUCAACAAAAUCCUCUGGCGAUGGACAACGAACAACAUCUACUCGGCUGCAUCCUGCUACCAGGCCCUCUUCACCGGUUCAACUGUGGCCCCUUUCUGGCAGCUAAUUUGGAAAACUUGGACGCCUCAAAGUGCCAAGUUCUUCCUCUCCUCUGGCUUGCGGCACUUGACAGGUGCUGGACGGCCGAGCGUCGGGCACGGCAUGACCUCAUGCGCGACCUGUUGUGCGUCCUCUGAGACCGAAAUCAUCCAUCACACCCUGGCUGGAUGUGUAUUCUCGCGCAUCACUUGGCACGAGAUCCUAUCUUGGUGCCGCCUAACUACAACGCCACCCGGGUCCUCAGCUUCCGGGUUGAUUAACUGAUUAAUCCAUCUCAAAUGGACAGGGCGUUUUGGCUCUCAGGCUCAUAUGAGCCCCGGAGUGAACAGUAAAAUCGCAAAAAAUACUAUUGUUCUGAAAAAUCACAAAAAGAAUUGUGGUGAAAGAUGUGUGAGUUCAUGAUACCCGUGCAAAAAAAUCAGCACAUUUGAACAUCUGACGGGCUUUCAGCAAAAAAAAGACAAAAUUGGGAUACGUGGAAAAGUUUACUGUUUUGCACUAUUCGGAGAUGAUUUUUUGCUGAGAGCUAUUCAGAUGUCCGAAUGAGCUGAAAUUUGCCACGAACUUCACGUACUCGAGCAACUUUCGCCAUACAAAAGUUUGGUUUUUUUAAUUUUCUAGUAUUUUAUUUGAAUUUACUGUUCACAGGGCGUAGAUGAGCUUCGGAGCCGAAUUGAAUAUUCGAUCUCAAACAUGAUAUUUUAACGAGUUUUGUUGUUCUCAAUCUUUCUUUCCUCAGUAUCCAUUGGUCCAUCUGAAUUAUGCUCUUUCUAUUUCGCACAUGCUAAAUAAUUCACUUCUUGAGCAGCUCGUGUCCACAUUCAAUUCCUCUCCAUGCCGGCGAGGCAUCCAUAGAAAACACAGUGCUCAGAAGAUCUCCUUUUGGGUAAUACUUAGAUCUAAGGACCCUUGCACACAGUCUGUUUGGAUUUUGGAUGAGCCUCCACCCUGUCCUGUCAACAACGUUUGAUUAAAAAAAGGCACAUUUGCAUUUUUGUCCCUAACUCGAACCGCCUACUCAGAUUUACCCCUAAUUUCGAAGCAUGCUCAAAUUUACCCCUCUGCCGUUAGGUGCCCUUAUAGAAAUGCUCUUUCAUGUCGUUUCCGUCACGUCAAAGGGCUUUGACCAUUUUAUUCACGUUUGCUGGACAUUUUUGCCCCUCUGUGCAUGUCCCACUUAUAGGUGGGACCUACCUAGGGAAAGAAAAAAAAACUCCCUCUUUCUCUCUGACUUACACGUGGAGCCCACCAAUAAAAAAAGGUCUCCCUCUCUCAUAACCUCCCCCUCUCCCUGACAUGUGGGCCAUUGAACCCAAUGUCAGGGUCAACUCCUGUUCGCACGUGGUCACGGCGAGGCUUGGCGGCUCGGCCGGUGGACGUUGCCGGUGAGGGACAUGCGCCUGCGUGUGAGGACCGCGGUGGGAGGCUCGGGAUCGUCUGACGGAGGGGGUGGAGCCGCCGCCCACAUCUUUCGUUGGAGCUAUCAUGGGAGCAAUCGUCUGAGAGCGCCUGAGAGCUUCGGUCGACGACGUCGUUAGCCACCGCGGCCGGAGUCCAAAUCCAACCAUACGAGCAUGUCCAUGAGCUUCGUCGGGUGCCUCUCCUCUGCCCUGCGCAGUGAAUCGGGCCUAGGGCCGCCAUAGACGACACCUGGGACAUCGAACUCCGCCAAGGCCGUCGCUCUUCCUGCCCUAAAUUCGGCCGCCAUGAGCCAUUCUUCACCAACCCGACCUCUCUCAAGUCAUCUAGGAAAGCUCACACCCCUACUCUCAUCAUCCCCUACCCGAUUCCGUGCCCGGAGCCCCCUGCUCAAAGCCGGACGCGAUGACUGACCUCGGUUGUGUGUUGGCCAUGUGUGCGCGCAUCUACACCCUGCUACGCCCGGUGAGCUUGAGUCUCGCGUAGCUCGCAUGGUUGGCGCCCUCCCCGCGCGGUCAACCACCCCCCUACGGUGAGCAACCGGCGAGCGCAUCCGCUGACGGCCGGGAAAGAGAAGGGAUGAGGGAGAGUGUUUUUUUACUUUGUCCUUGGUAGGUCCCAUGUGUAAGUGGGUGACCCAUGGUAGAUCUGAGCUGGCAUAGUUUUCCUUUUAUUUAAUUCAAAUGGGUCCCGCAUGUAAGUGUCACAUGGAGUCAGAGGCAAAAUGCCCGACUAACAUCUAGAAAAUGGUCAAAGCCCUUUAACCUAAUAGAAAAGGCACAUAAGGGGAUUUCUGUAAGGGCACAUAAUGGAGGAGGGGCAAAUUUGAGCAAGCUUCCAAAUUAGGGGCAAAUAUGAGUAGUAGGUUCGAGUUAGGGAUAGAGAUGUAAAAGACCCUAAAAAAUGCAGGCCUCCAGCUCUUUUCGGUUUGGCCAUUCGGUUCCCAGACAUCUAGUGCAACUUCCCACGGCCCUCCUCAUCUCCCCACCAGAAAUCGUGAAUGAUCUUUUCAUAUGUUUCGCAAAAACCCUUGGACAGCAAGAACAUCCCAUGGUCAAAGUGGGUAGGGCUUGAACCACCAAUUUGAUAUGAACCUCUUUUGCAACAUAAGACAUUAAUCUCUCGUUCCAAAUAUUGCAUUUGUUCCCGACUCUAUCCAUGAUCAGUUGGAAGUUCUCAUAUUUCAUUCUCCUUUCUCGUUACGGUAGACCAAGAUAUUUGCUAUCGAAGGUCGAUGGUUCCAUUUCCAACACCGGUUUAAUAUCCUCUCUGGUUUGACUCGAACACUAUUCACUAAAGAUGAUCGAGCACUUGCUCGAACUGAGAAGUUGACCGGUGCACCCGUGGAACACUUGGGAGGACAUUUUUAACCGUAACAACUUGGUCCACCGAGGCUUUAAAAAAUAGCAUGUUGGCAUCUGCAAAGAGGAGGUUUGAGACACCCGGGCUAUUGCGAGCCACCUUGACCAGUGUGAUCCUUCCACCAGCCACCUCCUUGUUAAGAAAAUUAACCAGACCAUCUGCCACAAAGAGAAAUAGGUAUGAGGUGAGUAGAUCACCUUGACAAAAGAACCCUCGUUGGCUUGAAAUUAUCCAGUUGUUCUCCAUUAUGCUUAACGAAUAAUCUAACAGAUGCCACACAUUGCAUGACCCACUGUGUCCAUCUCCGGCUGAAUCCAAUCUUUUCUAAAGCCUACUUCAGAAAUCUCCAAUCAACCAUGUCAUACGCUUUGGUGAGGUCAAGUCUGUAGGCACAAUGAGUAUCUCACGGGGUUGUACUAUGCUGAAUUUUAUGGAAACACUCAAACACGAUGAUGGCGUUAUCGGUUAUCCUUCUUCCAAGAACAAAUGCACUAUGUGUUUCUACAAUGAUCUCAUCCAGGAAGGACCUAAGUCUAUUGACCGAACGCUUGGAGACAACAUUGUAAAUCACAACACAUAAGCUUAUGGGGCUGAAGUAUGAGGAGUAUCACCAUGCCGUUUAUUCCUUCAAGCAUUCACUACUAGAAAAAGGGUUAUAGCUAAUAUGAACAUUAAUGGCGCACCACAUGUGUGGUGCAUCACUGCUAUAUAGCAGUGGCGCACCAUGUAUAGGUACAUCAUUAGUGUCCAUAUCACUAAUGGCGCACCACACCCACGGUGCGCCACUACUAACAUUUUUUUUCAAAACUAGUAAUGGCGCACCAGGGGAUAGUGCGCCAUUACUAGUUUUAACUAGUAAUGGCGCAACACACACUCUGUGCGCCACUACUAACAAAUUUUUUACUUAUUUUUUCAAAACUAGUAAUGGCGCACCAGGGGAUAGUGCGCCAUUACUAGUUCAAACUAGUAAUGGCGCACCUCAACCACGGUGCGCCACUACUAACAAUUUUUUUUAAACUAGUAAUGGCGCACCACAUACUAGGUGCACCAUUAGUAAUCAGGGUUACUAAUGGCGCAUUAUUAGGUGGUGCGCCAUUGGUAACCUGAGAGCAGCUAGAUAUUUUGGACAGCCACCUACCACACUCACUUUCCCCACUUCAUUCUCUCCACCUCGUCCUCCAAGCUUGUCUCGGCUGCCUCCUCCUCCUCACCUCAUUUGCAACAUAGAUUCACCCAAAUUAAGUGGUUAAAUUUCCUUUUUUUGAUAGGUAAGUAAGGGGAAAGCUUUUUUUAUGUUGUAGAUCAACUUUUUUCUCCCUCCAACAACGUGCACAUGCACUUUUUAUGGUCUAGAUCUACGUAUGUUUGUGGUAUUGCAUAUGUUUGUGUUUGCAGGUACCGGUAUUUGAAAUGCGAAAGUUGCCAAUAUUUUGCUGGAAUGUUGAUUCAUUUCCGUUUCGGCGAGAAUUUGGCACCAUGCAUUCUUUUUGGUCCUAUUUUUAGGCAAAGUCAUGCCAAAUUUUUUUUUGGUUCUAAAAUAUCAUUUUGCUCUACCCCACAGGCGACCAUGGUCCGCACGAUGACCGAAGGCAUUGUGAAUAGGUUUUUGAGCUCCGCGAAGGCCAUGAUGCUUCAAAAGAACGAGAUGGAGAUAAGAUGUCCGUGUCGAAGAUGCAAGCUGAAGAGCCUUAUGGACCCGGAUUCCGUACAGGUGCGGGACCACCUGCUCUUGCGUGGUUUCAUGGAUGGCUAUCGGUGGCAAGGUGAUGAAGAUGAUUAUGAAGUCGUCCAUGGGGGCCGGGCAAGAAAUGAGGAAGGGCAGCAAGACAACCGCGGCGAGGGCGGGCGAGAAGACGAAGAAUCUCCAGGACAUGAUCACGUAGUAGAUGCAGUACACAGUCAUCAUGUAGAAGAUGCCGGACAUGAUGAUGAGGAAGAUGCCGGAGCAGACGAAGGGCAUGAUCAUGAAGAUGAAGAUGCCGGAGCAGAUGACGAUGGACCAUCAAUGGGCUGGAUGCAGGACCCUCAUAUUCAAGAGCUGCUUCUCAAGCAGACGGAUAACGCAAGAGCUGCCACCCGAGAGAAAGCCAAGCUAGAUCAACUGGAGAUAGAUGCGGUUACUCCAUUGUAUGAAGGAUGCAUGCCCGAGGAUACCCACCUGAAAGUAACGCUCAUGGCCUUGGAGAUGAAGGUAAAACACAAAAUGACCGACGCAUGCUUCGACGAGAACAUGUCCUUCUGGCACGAACGUCUUCCCAAGGGGAACAAGUGCCCGACCAGUUUUGAGGAGGCGAAGAAAAUCGUGUGUCCUCUGGAUUUACGACACGUGAAAUACCAUGUGUGCAUGAACAAUUGCAUCAUUUAUCGAGACGAGCACGCGGAGUCUACCAUAUGUCUGGUGUGCGGCGUCACUCGAUACAAGAAGAGGAAGAAAGCUCCUCAAAAAGUGGUGUGGUACUUUUCGAUCACUCCUCGUCUGCAGCGGUAUUUCGCGGACCCUAAGGUAGCAAAGCUCCUGCAUUGGCACGCAGAUAGGGAGGAGAAGAAGCGAGAAGAUGAUGGAAAUGAUCCAGAGAUAAAUAAAAAAGACAAGAUGCUGAGUCACCCUAAGGAUGCGAGCCAGUGGCAAGCGUUGAACUUCGAACACCCAGAAUUUGGGGACGAUCCAAAGAACAUCAUGCUAGGCGCGAGCACCGAUGGAGUCAAUCCGUUUGGCAGCCAGAGAAGCACACAUAGCACCUGGCCCGUGUUUGUGUGGAUGUACAACCUUCCUCCCUGGUUGUGCAUGAAGAGGAGGUACAUUCACAUGAGUAUGCUAAUUGAAGGGCCGAAACAACCAGGGAACGACAUCAAUCUAUAUCUGGGGCUGCUGAAAGAGGAGCUAGACAUGCUGUGGAAAACGCCAGCCAAUACGUGGGACACAGCAGAGAAAGCAUAUUUCCCUAUGAGAGCCGCACUGCUCACGACGGUGCACGACUAUCUCGGUUACGGAUAUGUCGCGGGGCAGGUGGUCCACGGAUUUUCUGGAUGUGUCAGGUGCAUGGAUGACACAACGUAUUGCCAGCUAGAUAGAGAUCUUGGGUCUUCAAAAACUGUGUUCAUGGGACAUCGAAGGUGGCUUCGCGAUGAUGACUCAUGGAGAAAAUGCAAGGAUCUGUUCGAUGGUGAAACCGAACCGCGAAGACGCCCGCAUACGAGGAGCAGCGAAGAAAUAGACGAGCUGUUGAAAAAUUGGAAAGAGUGCCCGGAGCCGGGAGCCGCUGCUGAAGGUAUGGAAAAUGAGGCCUGUUUUCUGGGACUUGCCAUACUGGAAGAUCCUCCGUGUGCCUCACUGCCUUGAUGUCAUGCAUAUCACAAAGAAUGUGUGCGAGAGUCUGCUUGGUACCCUGCUCAACAUGCCAGAGAGGACCAAAGAUGGGCCGAAAACAAGGGCAGACUUGAAAUCAAUGGGCAUCAGGGAGGAGCUUCACGCUAAUGAUGAUGAUGAUGAUGAGGCGAAGGGCACGGAAAGUCGUCGCAAAGGCAAAAAGACCAAGAAGAUCAAAAAUGACUGCCCUCCCGCGUGCUUCACUCUAAGUCAGGAGGAGAUCGAGCAGUUUUUCACCUGCCUCGUAGGAGUAAAAAUUCCUUACGGUUAUGCGGGGAAGAUAACCAGAUACCUAGACUCAGCGAAGCAGAAGUUUAGCGGGAUGAAGUCUCACGACUGUCACAUGCUGAUGACGCAGAUACUUCUAGUUGCAAUCUGUGGGAUCAUGGACGCGCACUUUCAUGAACCGCUAUUUGGCCUAUGCAACUUUUUCGACGUCAUCUCUCGGAAGUUAGUUGGCGUGAGGCAACUCAGAAGGCUACAGGAAGAGAUCGUGGUGAUACUAUGCGAACUUGAGAUGUACUUCCCGCCCGCAUUCUUCGACGUUAUGGUGCACCUGCUGGUCCAUAUCGUGGAGGAUAUCAUCCAACUCGGGCCGAUGUUCCUGCACAGCAUGAUGCCGUUCGAAAGGAUGAAUGGUGUCAUUAAAGGAUACGUUCGCAACAUGUCACGUCCAGAGGGAAGCAUAGCCAAGGGCUUUUUGACCGAAGAGUGCAUCUCCUACUGCAUGAAUUAUCUAGGCAUCGAGAACUGAUACGUCUCCAACGUAUCUAUAAUUUUUGAUUGCUCCAUGCUACUUUAUCUACUGUUUUAGGAAAUAUUGGGCUUUAUCAUCCACUUUUAUAUUAUUUUUGGGACUAACCUAUUAACCGAAGGCCCAGCCCAGAUUUGUUGUUUUAUGCCUAUUUUAGUGUUUUAGGGAAAAGGAAUAUCAGACGAAGUCAAAACGGAACGAAAUCAACUGGAGAAGUUAUUUUGGGAAGGAAACCCACCUGAUGGACUUGGAGUGCACGUUAGGGGAGUCCCGGGCUACCCACGAGGGUGGGGGGCACGCCCCCCUGGAGGUCCACCGACGUACCCCUUGCACCCAUAUAUACCUACGUACCCUAAAACUUCCAGAAGAGAAGAUAGAUUGGGAGUUCUGCCGCCGCAAGCCUCUGUAGCCACCAAAAACCUCUCGGGAGCCUGUUCCGGCACCCUGCCGGAGGGGGAACCCAUCACCGGUGGCCAUCUUCAUCAUCCCGGCGCUAUCCAUGAAGAGGAGGGAGUAGUUCACCCUCGGGGCUGAGGGUAUGUACCAGCAGCUAUGUGUUUGAUCUCUCUCUCUCUCUCUCUCUCGUGUUCUCUCUCGUGUUACCUGUAUGGCACGAUCUUGAUGUAUCCCGAGCUUUGCUAUUGUAGUUGGAUCUUAUGAUGUUUCUCCCCCUCUACUCUCUUGUGAUGAAUUGAGUUUCCCCUUUGAAGUUAUCUUAUCGGAUUGAGUCUUUUAUGAGAACACUUGAUGUAUGUCUUGCGAUCUACUUGAUGUAUGUUUUGGUGAUCAACUUGCGGGUUUCGUGACAUUGGGAACCUAUGCAUAGGGGUUGGCACACGUUCUUGACUCUCCGGUAGUAGCUUUGGGGCACUCUUUGAAGUACUUUUAUGUUGGUUGGAUGAAUCUGAGAUUGUGUGACGCAUAUCGUAUAAUCAUGCCCACGGAUACUUGAGGUGACAAUGGAGUAUCUAGGUGACAUUAGGGUUUUGGUUGAUUUGUGUCUUAAGGUGUUAUUCUAGUACGAGCUCUUUUAUAGAUUGAUCCAAAAGAAUAACUUUGAGGUGGUUUCGUACCCUACCAUAAUCUCUACGUUUGUUCUCCGCUAUCAGUGGCUUUGGAGUGACUUUUUGUUUCAUGUUGAGGGCUUGUUAUAUGAUCUAUCUAUGUUAUUAUUGUUGAGAGAACUUGCACUAGUGAAAGUAUGAACCCUAGGCCUUGUUUCCUAUCAUUGCGAUACCGUUUACGCUCACUUUUACCGCUUGCUACCUUGCUGUUUUUAUUAUUUCAGAUUACAAAAACCUAUAUCUACUAUCUAUUUUGCACUUGUAUGACCAUCUCUUCGCCGAACUAGUGCACCUAUACAAUUUACCAUUGUAUUGGGUGUGUUGGGGACACAAGAGACUCUUUGUUAUUUGGUUGCAGGGUUGUUUGAGAGAGACCAUCUUCAUCCUACGCCUCCUACGGAUUGAUAAACCUUAGGUCAUCCACUUGAGGGAAAUUUGCUACUGUCCUACAAACCUGUGCACUUGCAGGCCCAACAACGUCUACAAGAAGAAGGUUGUGUAGUAGACAUCAAGCACUUUUCUGACGCAGUUGCCGGGGAGGUUAGCGCUUGAAGGUAUAUCUUUAGAUCUUGCAAUCGAAUCUUUUUGUUUCUUGUUUUAGCACUAGUUUAGUUUAUAAAAGAAAAUUACAAAAAAAUGGAGUUAAGUUUGUCACAUACGCUUCACCUUUUUAAUAUCUUUCGUGAGUAUGAUGGAAAGGAUAAUUGUGCUCAAGUGCUAGAAGAAGAAAUCUCUAAAUUGUUUGGCACUAAAUAUUUGAAUGAUGAUCAUGAUUGCAAUGUUGUUAGUAUGAAUUCUUUGAAUAUCCAUGAUACUAAUGAUAUGCAAAGCAACAAGCUUGGGGAAGCUAUGUUUGACGAAGAUGAUAUUUUUUGUCCCCGAAGCUUUGAUGAGCAAAAUUACUAUGAUGAAAGCAUGCCUCCUAUCUAUGAUGAUUAUUGUGAUGACACGUAUGCUUUAAAGAAUAAUGAUAACCAUGAAACUUGUCAUCUUGAUCUUAAUUUUCAAUCAUAUGAUAGUUAUUUUGUUGAGUUUGCUCCCACUAUUAUUCACGAGAAGAAUCUUGCUUAUGUGGAGAGUAGUAAAUUUUCUAUGCUAGUAGAUCAUGAAAAGAAUGCUUUAGGUGCUGGUUAUAUUGUUGAAUUCAUUCAUGAUGCUACUGAAAAUUAUUAUGAUGGAGGAACAUAUGCUUGUAGGAGUUGCAGUAAUGUCAAGUUUCCUCUCUAUGUGCUUAAAAUUUUGAAGUUAUGCUUGUUUUACCUCCCUAUGCUAGUUGAUUAUUGUUCCCAUAAGUUGUUUGCUCACAAAAUCCCUAUGCAUAGGAAGUGGGUUAGGCUUAAAUGUGCUAGUCAUAUGCUUCAUGAUGCUCCCAUUAUGUUUCAAUUCGUAUCUUUUAUGUGAGCAUCAUUGUCAUCAUCAUGCCUAGCUAGAAAGGCAUUAAAGAAAAGCGCUUGUUGGGAGACAACCCAAUAUUUAUCCUUACUGUGUUUGUGUGUCCACAUGAUUAUGCUACUGUAGUAAUCAUGUUUUAUAGCUUUUGUUUCAAUAAAGUGCCAAGUAGAACCUUUGGGAAGACUUGGGUGAAGUUUAUGUGAUCUUGCUGUGAAAAACAGAAACUUUAGCGCUCACGAGAUUAGCUGCCAUUUUUUAUUGGAGAGUGAUUUUAGGCUGAUUCUUUUUUGAAGAUGAUUAAUAGACAAAUUUCUCAGGUCCAGAAAUUUAUUUCAUAAUUUUUGGGGUUCCAGAAGUAUACGUUUGAUACAGAUUACUACAGACUGUUCUGUUUUUGACAGAUUCUGUUUUCAUUGUGUUGUUUGCUUAUUUUGAUGCAUCUAUGGCUAGUAUUAAGUGGUAUGAACCAUAGAGAAGUUGGAAUACAGUAGGUUUUACACCAAUAUGAAUCUUGAAUGAGUUCAUUACAGUACCUAAGUGGUGGUUUUAUUUUCUUAUACUAACGGAGCUUACGAGUUUUGUGUUGAGUUUUGUGUGGUUGAAGUUUUCAAGUUUUGGGUAAGGAUUCGAUGGACUAUGGAAUAAGGAGUGGAAAGAGCCUAAGCUUGGGGAUGCCCAAGGCACCCCAAGGUAAUAUUCAAGGACAACCAAGAGCCUAAGCUUGGGGAUGCCCCGGAAGGCAUCCCCUCUUUCGUCUUCGUUCAUCGGUAACUUUACUUGGAGCUAUAUUUUUAUUCACCACAUGAUAUGUGUUUUGCUUGGAGUGUCAUUUUAUUUUGUUAGUUUUUGCUUGAUGUUAGUUAGAUUAAUGUUUUGCAUCUUUAGUUUCAAUAAAAAAAGUCAAGGAUAGCAUUUGCCAUGCUUAUUUUGCUAGUAUACAUGUUUCUGUUUGAAAACAGAAAGUUUACCGCUGUUGCAAAAUUUCUCUAGAAAAGUCAGAGAACGGUAUAACGUUGAAUAUUUUUGAAUAUUACGCUCUGAUAAAUUUACUACAGUGGGAAUUUUAGUUCAUAAUUUUUGGAGUCAGGGAAGUAUUGUUACUCUUGCAUUCUUUACAGACUGUACUGUUUUGGCAGAUUGCUGUUAUGUUUGCAUUGUUUGCAUCUAUUUGCUUGUUUAAUGAUUCUAUUUGAGGAUAGGAGUAUUAAAUAUACAGAGGAAUUUAGUAUUCAAUGUUGAAUAAUAAUGUUAGUAAUUUGUUACAGUGGAAGAUGAUAAGGUUUUGCAUUGGUUUAUACUAACCUAUCUCAGAAGUUCUUGUUGAGUUUGUUGUGAAUGAAGCUUUUGAUAAAAAGAGAAACCGUGACAUGAAAGGAAUUAAGGAGACACAAAAGCUCAAGCUUGGGGAUGUCCAAGGCACCCCAAGAUAAUAUUUCAAUAAGUCUGAAGCAUCUAAGCUUGGGGAUGCCCCGGUAGGCAUCCCACCUUUCUUCUUCAACAAUCAUCGGUUAGUAUCGGUUGAGCCUAAGUUUUUGCUUCUUCACAUGAGUUGUGCUAUCCUUGCAAUGUCAUUUAUUUUGCUUUGCUUGCUGUUUGAAUAAGAUAUGAAGAUCUGAAAUUCUUUAUUGAGAGAGAGUCUUCGCAUAGUUGCAUAAUUAUUUAGCUACUCAUUGAUCUUCACUUAUAUCUUUCGGAGUAGUUUUUGUUAUUGCUCAUAGUGCUUCACUUAUAUCUUUUGAGCGUGAUAAUUUUUGCUCUAGUACUCCACUUAGAUCUUUUAGAGCACAGUGGUGGAUUUGUUUUAAAGAAACUAUUGAUCUCUCAUGCUUCACUUAGAUUAUUUUGAGAGCCGUUAAUAGCACGAUAAUUUGCUUAAAGUUAAUAUACUUGGUAUUCAAGAUAUGUGAAACUUUCUUUUGAGUGAAUUGAAUACUAAGAUAAGUUUGAUGCUUGAUAAUUGUUUUGAGAUAUGGAGGUGAUAGUAUCAAAGUCGUGCUAGUUGGGUGAUUAUGAAUUUGAGAAAUGCUUGUGUUGAAGUUUGCAAGUCCCGUAGCAUGCACGUAUGGUUAAAGUUGUGUAACAAAUUUGAAACAUGAAGUGUACCUGGCUUGUGCAUCCUUAUGAGUGGCGGUCGGGGACGAGCGAUGGUCUUUUCCUACCAAUCUAUCCCCCUAGGAGCAUGCGCGUAAUACUUGAUUUUUGAUGACUUCUAAAUUUUUACAAUAAGUAUAUGAGUUCUUUUGACUAAUGUUGAGUCCAUGGAUUAUACGCACUCUCACCUUUCCGCCUUUGCUAGCCUCUCUAAUACCGCGCACUUUUCGCCGGUAUCAUACACCCACCAUAUACCUUCCUAAAAACAGCCACCAUACCUACCUAUUAUAGCAUUUCCAUAGCCAUUCCGAGAUAUAUUGCCAUGCAACUUUCCACCAUUCCGUUUAUUAUGACACGCUCCAUCAUUGUCAUAUUGCUUUUUUGCAUGAACAUGUAGUUGACAUUGUAUUUGUGGCAAGGCCACCUUCAUAAUUUUCAUACAUGUCGCUCUUGAUUCAUUGCAUAUCCCGGUACACCGCCGGAGGCAUUCAUAUAGAGUCAUAUUUGUUCUAAGUAUCGAGUUGUAAUUGUUGAGUUAUAAGAAAAAUAAAAGUGUGAUGAUCAUCACUACUAGAGCAUUGUCCCAGUGAGGAAAGGAUGAUGGAGACUAUGAUUCCCCCAUAAGUCGGGAUGAGACUCCGGACGAAAAAAAAGAGUGGCCAUAAAGAAAAGAAGAGAAAAGGCCCAAAUAAAAAAAUGAUGAGAGAAAAAGAGAGAAGGGACAAUGCUACUAUCCUUUUACCACACUUGUGCUUCAAAGUAGCACCAUGAUCUUCAUAAUGGAGAGUCUCAUAUGUUGUCACUUUCAUAUACUAGUGGGAAUUUUUCAUUAUAGAACUUGGCUUGUAUAUUACAAUGAUGGGCUUCCUCAAAAGUGCCAGAGGUCUUCGUGAGCAAGCAAGUUGGAUGCACACCCACUUAGUUUCUUUUGCUGAGCUUUCAUAUACUUAUAGCUCUAGUGCAUCCGUUGCAUGGCAAUCCCUACUCACUCACAUUGAUAUCUAUUGAUGGGCAUCUCCAUAGCCUGUUGAUACGCCUAGUUGAUGUGAGACUAUCUUCUUCUUUUUGUCUUCUCCACACAAUCCCCAUCAUCAUAUUCUAUUCCACCCAUAGUGCUAUAUCCAUGGCUCACGCUCAUGUAUUGCGUGAAGGUUGAAAAAGUUUGAGAUUAUUUAAGUAUGAAACAAUUGCUUGGCUUGUCAUCGGGGGUAUAGAAGUUGGGAACAACUUUGUGUGAUGAAGAUGGAGCAUAGUCAGACUAUAUGAUUUUGUAGGGACAACUUUCUUUGGCCAUGUUAUUUUGAGAAGACAUAAUUGCUUAGUUAGUAUGCUUGAAGUAUUAUUAUUUUUAUGUCAAUAUGAACUUUUGUCUUGAAUCUUUCGGAUCUGAAUAUUCAUGCUACAAUUAAGAAGAUUUACAUUGAAAUUAUGCCAAAGUAUCACUCCACAUCAAAAAUUCUCUUUUUAUCAUCUACCUACUCGAGGACGAGCAGGAAUUAAGCUUGGGGAUGCUUGAUACAUCUCCAAUGUAUCUAUAAUUUUUGAUUGCUCCAUGCUACUUUAUCUACUGUUUUAGGCAAUAUUGGGCUUUAUCAUCCACUUUUAUAUUAUUUUUGGGACUAACCUAUUAACCGGAGGCCCAGCCCAGAUUUGCUGUUUUAUGCCUAUUUCAGUGUUACAAGGAAAAGGAAUAUCAGACGAAGUCAAAACGGAACAAAAUCAACUAGAGAAGUUAUUUUUGGAAGGAAACCCACCUGAUGGACUUGGAGUGCACGUCAGGGGAGUCUCGGGCUGCCCACGAGGGUGGGGGGUGCGCCACCCCCUGGGCGCGCCCCCUGCCUCAUGAGCACCCCGGAGGUCCACCGACGUACCCCUUGCACCCAUAUAUACCCACGUACCCUAAAACUUCCAGAAGACAAGAUAGAUCGGGAGUUCCGCUUCCGCAAGCCUCUGUAGCCACCAAAAACCACUCGGGAGCCUGUUCUGGCACCCUGCCAGAGGGGGAACCCAUCACCGGUGGCCAUCUUCAUCAUCCCGGCGCUAUCCAUGACGAGGAGGGAGUAGUUCACCCUCGGGGCUGAGGGUAUGUACCAGUAGCUAUGUGUUUGAUCUCUCUCUCUCUCUCGUGUUCUCUCUCGUGUUCCCUCUAUGGCACGAUCUUGAUGUAUCCCGAGCUUUGCUAUUGUAGUUGGAUCUUAUGAUGUUUCUGUUUGAAAUAUGCCCUAGAGGCAAUAAUAAAUUAAUUAUUAUUAUAUUUCCUUGUUCAUGAUAAUCGUUUAUUAUCCAUGCUAUAAUUGUAUUAACAGGAAACUCAGAUACAUGUGUGGGUACAUAGACAACACCAUGUCCCUAGUAAGCCUCUAGUUGACUAGCUCGUUGAUCAAUAGAUGGUUACGGUUUCCUGACCAUGGACAUUGGAUGUCGUUGAUAACGGGAUCACAUCAUUAGGAGAAUGAUGUGAUGGACAAGACCCAAUCCUAAGCCUAGCACAGAGAUCGUGUAGUUCGUAUGCUAAAGCUUUUCUAAUGUCAAGUAUCUUUUCCUUAGACCAUGAGAUUGUGAAACUCCCGGAUACCGUAGGAAUGCUUUGGGUGUACCAAACGUCACAACGUAACUGGGUGGCUAUAAAGGUGCACUACAGGUAUCUCUGAAAGUGUCUGUUGGGUUGGCACGAAUCGAGACUGGGAUUUGUCACUCCGUGUGACGGAGAGGUAUCUCUGGGCCCACUCGGUAGGACAUCAUCAUAAUGUGCACAAUGUGAUCAAAGUGUUGAUCGCGGGAUGAUGUGUUACGAAACGAGUAAAGAGACUUGCCGGUAACGAGAUUGAACAAGGUAUCGGUAUACCGACGAUCGAAUCUCAGGCAAGUACAAUACCGUUAGACAAAGGGAAUUGUAUACGGGAUCGAUUGAGUCCUUGACAUCGUGGUUCAUCCGAUGAGAUCAUCGUGGAACAUGUGGGAGCCAACAUGGGUAUCCAGAUCCCGCUGUUGGUUAUUGACCGGAGAACGUCUCGGUCAUGUCUGCAUGGUUCCCGAACCCGUAGGGUCUACACACUUAAGGUUCGAUCACGCUAGGGUUAUAAAGGAAGUUUGUAUGUGGUUACCAAAUGUUGUUCGGAUUCCCGGAUGAUAUCCCGGACGUCACGAGGAGUUCCGAAAUGGUCCGGAGGUAAAGAUUUAUAUAUGGGAAGUCCUGUUUUGGUCACUGGAAAAGUUUUGGGUUUUAUCGGUAAUGUACCGGGACCACCGGGAGGGUCCCGGGGGUCCACCAAGUGGGGACACCAACCCCGGAGGGCUGCUCGUUCCGUAAUACAUCAUCUCACAACUAACAUAUUAGUUGCAGUGCUUGCAAGGCUUAUGUGAUGUGCAUUACCGAGAGGGCCCAGAGAUACCUCUCCGACAAUCGGAGUGACAAAUCCUAAUCUUGAAAUACGCCAACCCAACAUCGACCAUUGGAGACACCUGUAGUACUCCUUUAUAAUCACCCAUUUACGUUGUGACGUUUGGUAAUACCCAAAGUGUUCCUCCGGUAAACGGGAGUUGCAUAAUCUCAUAGUCAUAGGAACAUGUAUAAGUCAUGAAGAAAGCAAUAGCAACAUACUAAACGAUCAGGUGCUAAGCUAAUGGAAUGGGUCAUGUCAAUCAGAUCAUUCUACUAAUGAUGUGACCUCGUUAAUCAAAUAACAACUCAUUGUUCAUGGUUAGGAAACAUAACCAUCUUUGAUUAACGAGCUAGUCAAGUAGAGGCAUACUAGUGACACUCUGUUUGUCUAUGUAUUCACACAUGUAUUAUGUUUCCGGUUAAUACAAUUCUAGCAUGAAUAAUAAACAUUUAUCAUGAUAUAAGGAAAUAAAUAAUAACUUUAUUAUUGCCUCUAGGGCAUAUUUCCUUCAGUCUCCCACUUGCACUAGAGUCAAUAAUCUAGUUCACAUCGCCAUGUGAUUUAACAGCAAUAGUUCAUAUCACCAUGUGAUUAACACCCAUAGUUCACAUCGCUAUGUAACCAACACCCAAAGGGUUUACUAGAUUCAGUAAUCUAGUUUACAUCGCUAUGUGAUUAAAACCCAAAGAGUACUAAGGUGUGAUCAUGUUUUGCUCGUGAGAGAAGCUUAGUCAACGGGUCUGUCAUAUUCAGAGCCGUAUGUAUUUUGCAAAUAUCCUAUGUCUACAAUGCUCUGUGCGGAGCUACUCUAGCUAAUUGCUCCCACUUUCAAUAUGUAUCCAGAUUGAGACUUAGAGUCAUCUGGAUCAGUGUAAAAGUUUGCACUGAUGUAACUUUUACAACAAACUCUUUUAUCACCUCCAUAAUCGAGAAACAUCUCCUUAGUCCUUACUAAGGAUAUUCUUGACCAAUGUCCAGUGAUCUACUCCUAGAUCACUAUUGUACUCCCUUGCCAAAUACAGAGCAAGGUAUACAAUAGGUCUGGUACAUAGCAUAGCAUACUUUAUAGAACCUAUGACUGAGGCAUAGGGAAUGACUUUUCAUUCUCUUUCUAUUUUCUGCUGUGAUCGGGAUUUGAGUCUUACUCAAUUUCAUACCUUUGCAACACAGGCAAGAACUCUUUCUUUAACUGUUCCAUUUUGAACUAUUUCAAAAUCUUGCCAAGGUAUGUAGUCAUUGAAAAUCUUAUCAAGUGUCUUGAUCUAUCUCAAUAGAUCUUGAUUCUCAAUAUAUAAGUAGCUUUUACUGAGGUCUUUUCUUGAAAAACUUUUAUUCAAGUAUCCCUUUAUGCUAUCCAGAAAUUCUAUAUCAUUUCCAAUCAAUAAUAUGUCAUCCACAUAUAAUAUCAGAAAUGCUACAGAGCUCCCACUCACUUUCUUGUAAAUACAGGCUUCUCCAAAAGUCUGUAUAAAACCAAAUGCUUUGAUCACACUAUCAAAACGUUUAUUCCAACUCUGAGAGGCUUACACCAGUCCAUAAAUGGAUCGCUGGAGCUUGCACACUUUGUUAGCUCCCUUUGGAUUGACAAAACCUUCUGGUUGCAUCAUAUACAACUCUUCUUUAAUAAAUCCAUUAAGGAAUGCAAUUUUGUUUAUCCAUUUGCCAGAUUUCAUAAAAUGCGGCAAUUGCUAACAUGAUUCGGACAGACUUUUAAGCAUCGAUACGAGCAAGAAAAUCUCAUCGUAUUCAACACCUUGAACUUUGUCAAAAACCUUUUUCGACAAGUCUAGCUUUGUAGAUAGUAACACUUCUAUCAACGUCUGUCUUCCUCUUGAAGAUCCAUUUAUUCUUAAUGACUCACCGAUCAUCGGGCAAGUCAAUCAAAGUCUACACUUUGUUCUCAUACAUGGAUCAUAUCUCAGAUUUCAUGGCUUCUAGCCACUUUGCGGAAUCUGGGCUCACCAUCGCUUCUUCAUAGUUCGUAGGUUCAUCAUGAUCUAGUAGCAUGACCUCCAGAAUAGGAUUACCGUACCACUCUGGUGCGGAUCUUACUCUGGUUGAUCUACGAAGUUCAGUAGUAUCUUGAUCUGAAGUUUCAUGAUCAUUAUCAUUGGCUUCCUCACUGACUGGUGUAGAUGUCACUGAAACAGUUUUCUGUGAUGAACUACUUUCUAGUAAGGGAGCAGGUACAGUUACCUCGUCAAGUUCUACUUUCCUCCCACUCACUUCUUUCGAGAGAAACUCCUUCUCCAGAAAGUUUCCGAAUUUAGCAACAAAAGUCUUGCCUUUCGGAUCUGUGAUAGAAGGUGUAUCCAAUAGUUUCCUUUGGAUAUCCUAUGAAGACGCACUUCUCCGAUUUGAGUUUGAGCUUAUCAGGAUGAAACUUUUUCAUAUAAGCAUCGCAACCCCAAAUUUAAGAAACGACAACUUUGGUUUCUUGCUAAACCACAGUUCAUAAGGCGUCGUCUCAACGGAUUUUGAUGGUGCCCUAUUUUAAAACGUGAAUGCAGCUGUCUCUAAUGCAUAACCCCAAAACGAUAGUGGUAAAGAGAUAUCAUAGAUCGCACCAUAUCAAAUAAAGUGCGGUUACGACGUUCGGACACACCAUAACGAUGUGGUGUUCCAGGUGGCGUGAGCUGUGAAACUAUUCCACAUUGUUUUAAUUGAAGACCAAACUCGUAACUCAAAUAUUUGUCUCCGCGAUCAGAUCGCAGAAACUUUAUUUUCUUGUUACGAUGAUUUUUCCACUUCACUCUGAAAUUCUUUGAACCUUUCAACUAUUUCAGACUUAUGUUUCAUCAAGUAGAUAUACCCAUAUCUGCUCAAAUCAUCUUGUGAAGGUCAGAAAACAACGAUGCUUGCCACGAGCAACAGCACUCAUUGGAUCGCAUACAUCGGUAUGUAUUAUUUCCAACAAGUCAGUAACUCGUUCCAUUGUUCCGAAGAACGGAGUUUUAGUCAUCUUACCCAAAAGGCACGGUUCGCAAGCAUCAAAUGAUUCAUAACCAAGUGAUUCCGAAAAUCCAUCUUUAUGGAGUUUCUUCAUGCGCUUUACACCGAUAUGACCCAAACGGCAGUGCCACAAAUAAGUUGCACUAUCAUUAUUAACUUUGCAUCUUUUGGCAUCAAUAUUAUGAAUAUGUGUAUCACUACGAUCGAGAUCCAAUGAACCAUUUUCAUUGGGUGUGUAACCAUAUAAGGUUUUAUUCAUGUAAAUAGAACAACAGUUUAUUCUCUUACUUAAAUGAAUAACCGUAUUGCAAUAAACAUGAUCAAAUCAUAUUCAUGCUCAACGCAAACACCAAAUAACAUUUAUUUAGGUUCAACACUAAUCCCGAAAGAAUAGGGAGUGUGCGAUGAUGAUCAUAUCAAUCUUGAAACUACUUUCAACACACAUCAUCACUUCACCCUUAACUAGUUUCUGUUUAUUCUGCAACUCCCGUUUCGAGUUACUACUCUUAGCAACUGAACCAGUACCAAAUACCGAGGGGUUGCUAUAAACACUAGUAAAGCACACAUCAAACACUUGUAUAUCAAAUAUACCCUUUUUCACUUUGCCAUCCUUCUUAUCCACCAAAUAUUUAGGGUAGUUCUGCUUCCAGUGACCAUUUCCUUUGCAGUGUAAGCACUCAGUUUCAGGCUUUGGUUCAGCUUUGGGCUUCUUCGUGGGAGUGACAACUUGCUUGUCAAUCUACUUGAAGUUCCCCUUUCUUUCCCUUUGCCCUUUUCUUGAAACUAGUGAUCUUGUCAACCAUCAACACUUGAUGCUCUUUCUUGAUUUCUACCUUCGUUGAUUUCAACAUCACGAAGAGCUCGGGAAUCAUUUUCAUCAUCCCUUGCAUACUAUAGUUCAUCACGAAGUUCUACUAACUUGGUGAUGGUGACUAGAGAAUUCUGUCAAUCACUAUCUUAUCUGGAAGAUUAACUCCCACUGAAUUCAAGCGAUUGAAGUACCCAGACAAUCUGAGCACAUGCUCACUAGUUGAGCGAUUCUCGUCCAUCUUUUAGCUAUAGAACUUGUUGGAGACUUCAUAUCUCUCAACUCGGGUAUUUGCUUGAAAUAUUAACUUCAAUUCCUGGAACAUCUCAUAUGGUCCAUGACGUUCAAAACGUCUUUGAAGUCCCGAUUCUAAGCCGUUAAGCAUGGUGCACUAAACUAUCAAGUAGUCAUCAUAUUGAGCUAGCCAGACGUUCAUAACUUCUGCAUCUGCUCCUGCAAUAGGUCUGUCACCUAGCGGUGCAUUAAGGACAUAAUUCUUCUGUGCAGCAAUGAGGAUUUAACCUCAGAUCACGGAUCAAAUCCGCAACAUUGCUACUAACAUUUUUCAACACAAUUUUCUCUAGGAACAUAUCAAAAUAAACACAGGGAAGCAACAACGCGAGCUAUUGAUCUACAACAUGAUUUGCAAAAUACUACCAGGACUAAGUUCAUGAUAAAUUUAAGUUCAAUUUAAUUAUAUAACUUAAGAACUCCCACUUAGAUAGACAUCCCUCUAAUCCUCUAAGUGAUCACGCGAUCCAAAUCAACUAAACCAUGUCCGAUCAUCACGUGAGAUGGAGUAGUUUCAUCGGUGAACAUCAUUAUGUUGAUCAUAUCUACUAUAUGAUUCACGCUCGACCUUUCGGUCUCCGUGUUCCGAGGCCAUAUCUGCAUAUGCUAGGCUCGUCAAGUUUAACCUGAGUAUUCUGCGUGCGCAACUGUUUUGCACCCGUUGUAUUUGAACGUAGAGCCUAUCACACCCGAUCAUCACGUGGUGUCUCAGCACGAAGAACUUUUGCAACGGUGCAUACUCAGGGAGAACACUUCUUGAUAAUUUAGUGAGAGAUCAUCUUAUAAUGCUACCGUCAAUCAAAGCAAGAUAAGAUGCAUAAAAAGAUAAACAUCACAUGCAAUCAAUAUAAGUGAUAUGAUAUGGCCAUCAUUAUCUUGUGCUUGUGAUCUCCAUCUCUGAAGCACCGUCAUGAUCACCAUCGUCACCGGCGCGACACCUUGAUCUCCAUCGUAGCAUCGUUGUCGUCUCGCCAAUCUUAUGCUUCCACGACUAUCACUACCGUUUAGUAAUAAAGUAAAGCAUUACAUCGCGAUUGCAUUGCAUACAAUAAAGCGACAACCAUAUGGCUCCUGCCAGUUGUCGAUAACUUGGUUACAAAACAUGAUCAUCUCAUACAAUAAAAUUCAGCAUCAUGCCUUGACCAUAUCACAUCACAACAUGCCCUGCAAAAACAAGUUAGACGUCCUCUACUUUGUUGUUGCAUGUUUUACGUGGCUGCUACGGGCUUAAGUAAGAACCAAUCUCACCUACGCAUCAAAACCACAACGAUAGUUUGUCAAAUAGACUCCGUUUUAACCUUCGCAAGGACCGGGCGUAGCCAUACUUGGUUCAACUAAAGUUGGAGAGGCAGUCGCCCGCAAGCCAUCUCUGUGCAAAGCACGUCGAGGGAACCGGUCUCGCGUAAGCGUACGCGUAAGGUUGGUCCGGGUCGUCUCGUCCAACAAUACCGCCAAACCAAAGUAUGACAUGCUGGUAGGCAGUAUGACUUGUAUCGUCCACAACUCACUUGUGUUCUACUCGUGCAUAUAACAUCAACAUAAAUAACCUAGGCUCUGAUACCACUGUUGGGUUUCGUGGAAAUUUCAAAAAAUUUCCUACGCGCACACAGGAUCAUGUGAUGCAUAGCAACGAGGGGAGAGUGUUGUCUACGUACCCAACGCAGACCGACUGCGGAAGCGAUGACACGACGUAGAGGAAGUAGUCGUACGUCUUCACGAUCCAACCGAUCAAGCACCGAAACUACGGCACCUCCGAGUUCGAGCACACGUUCAGCUCGAUGACGAUCCCCGGACUCCGAUCCAGCAAAGUGUCGGGGAAGAGUUCCGUUAGCACAACGGCGUGGUGACGAUCUUGAUGAACUACAGCAGCAGGGCUUCGCCUAAACUCCGCUACAGUAUUAUCGAGGAAUAUGGUGGCAGGGGGCACCGCACACGGCUAAGGAAUCGAUCACGUGGAUCAACUUGUGUCAACUUGUGUGUUUAGAGGUGCCCCUGCCUCCGUAUAUAAAGGAUGGAGGAGGAGGAGGCCGGCCAAGGCAAAGGUGCGGCCAGGAUAGGGAGUCCUACUAGGACUCCAAGUCCUAGUAGGAGUCCACCAAGAGGGGAGGAAGGGAGAAGGAAUAGGAGGAGAAGGAGAGGUGGCCGGCCCCUUUUUCCCUAGUCCAAUUCGGACCAAAGGGGAGGGGGGGCGCAGCAGCCUUUUUCCUCUUCCCACUAAAGCCCAUCAAGGCCCAUUACUUCUCCCGUAACUACCCGGUACUCCGAAAAAUACCCGAAUCACUCGGAACCUUUCCGAUGUCCGAAUAUAGUCGUCCAGUAUAUCGAUCUUUACGUCUCGACCAUUUCGAGACUCCUCGUCAUGUCCCCGAUCUCAUCCGGGACUCCGAACUCCUUCGGUACAUCAAAAUGCAUAAACUCAUAAUAUAACUGUCAUCGUAACCUUAAGCGUGCGGACCCUACGGGUUCGAGAACAAUGUAGACAUGACCGAGACAUGUCUCCGGUCAAUAACCAAUAGCGGGACCUGGAUGCCCAUAUUGGCUCCUACAUAUUCUACGAAGAUCUUUAUCGGUCAGACCGCAUAACAACAUACGUUGUUCCCUUUGUCAUCGGUAUGUUACUUGCCCGAGAUUUGAUCGUCGGUAUCCAAUACCUAGUUCAAUCUCGUUACCGGCAAGUCUCUUUAAUCGUUCCGUAAUACAUCAUCUCACAACUAACAUAUUAGUUGCAGUGCUUGCAAGGCUUAUGUGAUGUGCAUUACCGAGAGGGCCCAGAGAUACCUCUCCGACAAUCGGAGUGACAAAUCCUAAUCUCGAAAUACGCCAACCCAACAUCGACCAUUGGAGACACCUGUAGUACUCCUUUAUAAUCACCCAUUUACGUUGUGACGUUUGGUAGUACCCAAAGUGUUCCUCCGGUAAACGGGAGUUGCAUAAUCUCAUAGUCAUAGGAACAUGUAUAAGUCAUGAAGAAAGCAAUAGCAACAUACUAAACGAUCAGGUGCUAAGCUAAUGGAAUGGGUCAUGUCAAUCAGAUCAUUCUACUAAUGAUGUGACCUCGUUAAUCAAAUAACAACUCAUUGUUCAUGGUUAGGAAACAUAACCAUCUUUGAUUAACGAGCUAGUCAAGUAGAGGCAUACUAGUGACACUCUGUUUGUCUAUGUAUUCACACAUGUAUUAUGUUUCCGGUUAAUACAAUUCUAGCAUGAAUAAUAAACAUUUAUCAUGAUAUAAGGAAAUAAAUAAUAACUUUAUUAUUGCCUCUAGGGAAUAUUUCCUUCAAGAUCUUGGUGACACGUAGGAAAAUUUUGAAUUUCUGCUACGUUCCCCAACAGUGGUAUCAGAGCCAGGUCUAUUGCGUAGAUUCUUUGCACGAGUAGAACACAAAGUAGUUGUGGGCGUUGAUUUUGUUCAAUAUGCUUAUCGUUACUAGUCCAAUCUUGUUUCGACGAUAUUGUGGGAUGAAGCGGCCCGGACCGACCUUACACGUACUCUUACGUGAGAUAGGUUCCACCGACUGACAUGCACUUGGUGCAUAAGGUGGCUAGCGGGUGCCAGUCUCUCCCACUUUAGUUGGAACGGAUUGAUGAAAAGGGUCCUUAUGAAGGGUAAAUAGCAAUUGGCAUAUCACGUUGUGGUUUUGCGUAGGUAAGAAACGUUCUUGCUAGAAACCCAUAGCAGCCACGUAAAACAUGCAAACAACAAUUAGAGGACGUCUAACUUGUUUUUGUAGGGUAUGCUAUGUGAUGUGAUAUGGCCAAGAAGAAUGUGAUGAAUGAUAUGUGAUGUAUGAGAUUGAUCAUGUUCUUGUAAUAGGAAUCACGACUUGCAUGUCGAUGAAUAUGACAACCGGUAGGAGCCAUAGGAGUUGUCUUUAUUUAUUGUAUGACCUGCGUGUCAUUGAACAACGCCAUGUAAUUACUUUACUUUAUUGCUAACCGGUAGCCAUAGUAGUAGAAGUAAUUAGUUGGCAAGAAAACUUCAUGAAGACACGAUGAUGGAGAUCAUGAUGAUGGAGAUCAUGGUGUCAUGCCGGUGACGAUGAUGAUCAUGGAGCCCCGAAGAUGGAGAUCAAAAGGAGCAAAAUGUUAUUGGCCAUAUCAUGUCACUAUUUGAUUGCAUGUGAUGUUUAUCAUGUUUAUGCAUCUUAUUUGCUUAGAACGACGAUAGUAAAUAAGAUGAUCCCUCAUUAAAAUUUCAAGAAAGUGUCCCCCCUAACUAUGCACCAUUGCGAAAGUUAGUCAUUUCGAAGCACCACGUGAUGAUCGGGUGUGAUAGAUUCUUACGUUCACAUACAACGGGUGUAAGCCAGAUUUACACACGCGAAACACUUAGGUUAACUUGACGAGCCUAGCAUGUACAGACAUGGCCUCGGAACACAAGAGACCGAAAGGUCGAGCAUGAGUCGUAUAGUAGAUACGAUCAACAUGAAGAUGUUCACCGAUGAUGACUAGUCCGUCUCACGUGAUGAUCGGACACGGCCUAGUUGACUCGGAUCAUGUAAUCACUUAGAUGACUAGAGGGAUGUCUAUCUGAGUGGGAGUUCAUGAGAUGAACUUAAUUAUCCUGAACAUAGUCAAAAGAUCUUUGCAAAUUAUGUCGUAAGCUCGCGCUUUAGUUCCACUGUUUAGAUAUGUUCCUAGAGAAAAUAUAGUUGAAAGUUGACAGUAGCGAUUAUGCGAUCAGUAGAAAGAUAUGUCCUUAAUGCACCGCUCAAUGUGCAGAACCCCAAAACGUCGUCUGUGGAUGUUGCAAACAUCGAACAUACACGUUUUGAUAACUACGUGAUAGUUCAGUUAAACGGUUUAGAGUAGAGGCACCAAAGACGUUUUCAAAAUGUCGCGGAACAUAUGAGAUGUUUCGAGGGCUGAAAUUGGGAUUUCAGGCUCGUGCCCACGUCAAGAGGUAUGAGACCUCCGACGAAUUUCUUAGCCUACAAACUAAGGGAGAAAGCUCAAUUGAUGAGCUUGUGCUCAGAUUGUCUGAGUGCAAUAAUCACUUGAAUCGAGUGGGAGUUGAUCUUCCAGAUGAGAUAGUGAUGUUUCUCCAAAGUCAUUGCCACCAAGCUGCUAGAGCUUCGUGAUGAACUAUAACAUAUCAGGGAUACAUAUGAUGAUCCUUGAGGUAUUCACGAUGUUUGACACCGCGAAAGUAGAAAUCAAGAAGGACCAUCAAUUGUUGAUGGUUGGUGAAACCACUAGUUUCAAGAAGGUCAAGGGCAAGAAGGGAUACUUCAUGAAAUGGCAAAUAAGUUGCUGCUCUAGUGAAGAAACCCAAGGUUGAACCCAAACCCGAGACUAAGUGCUUCUGUAAUAAGGGGAACAACCACUGGAGCAGCAUUACCCUAGAUACUUGGUAGAUGAGAAGGCUGGCAAGGUCGAUAGAAGUAUAUUGGAUAUACAUUAUGUUAAGGUGUACUUUACUAUUACUCCUAGUAGCACCAGGGUAUUAAGAUACCGGUUCGGUUGCUAAGUGUUAGUAACUUGAAAUAAAAUAGCUACGGAAUAAACGGAGACUAGCUAAAGGAGAGCUGACGAUAUGUGUUGGAAGUGUUUCCAAUUUUGAUGUGAUCAAACAUCGCACGCUCCCUCUACCAUCAAGAUUAGUAUUAAACCUGAAUAAUUGUCAUUUGGUGUUUGCGUUGAGCAUAGACAUGAUUGGAUUAUGUCUAUCGCAAUACGGUUAUUCAUUUAAGGAGAAUAAUGGUUACUCUGUUUAUUUGAAUAAUACCUUCAAUGGUAUUGCACCUAAUAGGAAUGGUUUAUUGAAUCUCGAUCGUAGUGAUACACAUUUUCAUGCCAAAAGAUAUAAGAUAGUAAUGAUAGUACCACUUACUUGUGGCACUGCCAUGUAAGUCAUAUUGGUGUAAAACGCAUGAAGGAGCUCCAUGUUGAUGGAUCUUUGGACUCACUCAUUUUUGAAAAGUUUGAGACAUGCAAACCAUGUCUAUUGGUGUAUACGCAUGAAGAAACUCCAUGCAGAUGGAUUGUUUGGACUCACUUGAUUUUGAAUCACUUGAGAUAUGCAAAUCAUACCACAUGGCCAAGAUGACUGAAAAGCCUCGUUUUCAGUAAGAUGGAACAAGAUAGCAACUUGUUGGAAGUAACACAUUUUGAUGUGUGUAGUCCAAUGAGUGCUGAGGCAUGCAGUGAAUAUCAUUAUGUUCUUACUUCACAGAUGAUUCGAGUAGAUGUUGAGUAUAUUUACUUGAUGAAACAGAAGUCUGAAUUAUUGAAUGGUUCAAGUAAUUUCAGAGUGAAGUUGAAGGUCAUUGUGACAAGAGGAUAAAAUGUCUAUGAUAUGAUCAUAGAGAUGAGUAUCUGAGUUACGAGCUUUGGCACACAAUUAAGACAUUGUGGAAAUUGUUUCACAAUUAAUACCGCCUGGAACACCAUAGUGUGAUGGUGUGUCCGAACAUCAUAGUUGCACCCUAUUGGAUAUGGUGCGUACCAUGAUGUCUCUUAUCGAAUUACCACUAUCGUUCAUGGGUUAGGCAUUAGAGACAACCACACUCACUUUAAUAGGGCACCACGUAAUUCCGUUGAGACGACACCGUUUGAACUAUGGUUUGGAGAAACCUAAGUUGUUGUUUCUUGAAAGUUUGGGGCUGCGACGCUUAUGUGAAAAGGUUUCAUCGUUAUAAGCUCGAACUCAAAACGGAUAAAUACAUCUUCAUAGGAUACCCAAAAUGGUUGGGUAUACCUCCUAUCUCAAAUCCGGAAGCAAAAGUAAUUGUUUCUAGAAAUGGGUCCUUUCUCGGGGAAAAGUUUCUCUCGAAAGAAUUGAGUGGGAGGAUGGUGGAGACUUGAUGAGGUUAUUGAACCAUCACUUCAACCAGUGUGUAGCAGGGCACAGAAAGUUGUUCAUGUGGCACCUACACCAAUUGAAGUAGAAGCUUAUGAUAGUGAUCAUGAAGUUUUGGAUCAAGUCACUACCGCACCUCGUAGGGUGACAGGGAUGUGUACUACUUCAGAGUGGUACAGUAAUCCUGUCUUAGAGGUCAUGUUGCUAGACAACAAUGAACCUACGAGCUAUGGAGAAGCGAUGGUGGGCCUGGAUUCCGACAAAUGGCUAGAGGCCAUAAAAUCCGAGAGAGGAUCCAUGACUUUGGAAGAAAUACUUGAUGGUCGUAAGGCCGUUGGGUAAAGAUGGAUUUUAAAAGGAAGACAGACAAUGAUGGUAAGAAUCACCAUUAAGAAAGCUCGACUUGUCGUUAAGAUGUUUUCCGACAAGUUCAAGGAGUUGACUACGAUGAGAUUUUCUCAUCCGUAGCGAUGCUUAAGUCCGUCGGAAUCAUGUUAGCAUUAGCUGCAUUUAUGAAAUCUGGCAGAUGGAUGUCAAGACGAGUUUCCUUACCAGUUUUCGUAAGGAAAGGUUGUAUGUGAUACAAUCAGAAAAGUUCUGUCGAUCCUAAGGAUGCUAAAAGGUAUGCUCGCUCCAGCGAUCCUUCUAAGGACUGGAGUAAGCAUCUCGGAGUUGGAAUGUGCGCUUUGAUGAGAUGAUCAAAGAUUUUGGGUUUAUACAAAGUUCAUGAGAAACUUGUAUUUCCAAAGAAGUGAGUGGGAGCACUAUAGAAUUUCUGAUGAGUAUAUGUUGUUGACGUAUUGUUGAUCAGAAAUGAUGUAGAAUUUCUGGAAAGCAUAUAGGGUUAUUUGAAAGGUGUUUUUCAAUAGAAAACCUGGAUUAAGCUACUUGAACAUUGAGCAUCAAGAUCUAUGAGGAUAGAUCAAAAAAUGCUAAAUGGUACUUUCAAAUGAGCACAUACCUUGACGUGAUCUUGGAGGUGUUCAUGAUGGAUCAGUCAAAGAAGGAGUUCUUGCCUGAGAUGUGAGGUACGAAGUUAAGACUUAAAGCUCGACCACGGCAGAAUAGAGAGAAAGGACGAAGGUCGUCCCCUAUGCUUUAGACGUAGGCUCUACAGUAUGCUAUGCUGUGUACCGCACCUGAUGUGUGCCUUGCUACAUAUUUGGCAAGAGGGUACAAAGGUGAUCAAGGAGUGGAUCACCAGAUAGCGGUCAAAAUUAUCCUUAGAGUAAUAAGGAUAUGUUUCUCGAUUAUGGAGGUGAUAAAGAGUUCGACGUAAAGGGUUACGUCGAUGCAAGCUUUAACACCUAUUCGAAUGACUUUGAGUAGCAAACUGGAUACGUAUAGUGGAGCAACCAUUUGGAAUAGCUCCAAGUGGAGCGUGGAAGCAACAUUUACAAUAUGACCUAAAGAUUUGCGAAGUACAUACGAAUCUAAAUGUUGCAGACCCAUUGACAAAAACCUCUCUCACAAGCAAAACAUGAUCAAACCCCAGAACUCAUUGAGUCUUAAUCACAUGGUGAUGUGAACUAGUUUAGUGACACUAGUAAACUCUUUGGAUGUUGGUCACAUGGCGAUGUGACCUGAGUGUUAAUCACAUGGCGAUGUGAACUAGAUUAUUGACUCUAGUGCAAGUGGGAGACUGUUGGAAAUAUGCCCUAGAGGCAAUAAUAAAUUAGUUAUUAUUAUAUUUCCUUGUUCAUGAUAAUCGUUUAUUAUCCUACCUAAAGAACGUCCGUUCAAGAGAAGAACUCCAUUUGCGAAAAAGAAGGGCAAGAAGAUUGUGAAAAGAUAGCUAGCUAAGAUCGAUUGUAUUUAAAUUGUAGUCUUCAUUUCUCGAUUGUAUUCCGACAUAUGGAAAUGACAUUUUUUCUGUUCUAGUCCUCAUGAAUAUUUAUUUAUGUUUAUUCUGGUAUACCAAUUUUUAUUUAUGUUUAUUCUGGUAUUGAAUUUCUAAAUCACAAAAAGUAUUGAAUUUGUUAAUAUUUUUGAACUCAUGAAUAUUUUUAAAUUUCAUGGGCACUUUUUGAAUUCAUGAAUAUUUUUUCAAAUUUGAUGAUAUUUUUUCAUAUUCAUAAAUGUUUUACCAAUUCACAAAUGAAUGCAACUAAAAACCCAAAAUAAGUUACUAAUGGCACACCACGAGAAGGUGCGCCAUUGCUAUCAAGGUACUUAUGGCGCACCCCUAGCAGGUGCGCCAUUGGUAUACCAAUUUUUAUUUAGGUUUAUUCUGGUAUUGAAUUUCUAAAUCACAAAAAGUAUUGAAUUUGUUAAUAUUUUUUGAACUCAUGAAUAUUUUAAAAUUUCAUGGGCACUUUUUGAAUUCAUGAAUAUUUUUUCAAAUUUGAUGAUAUUUUUUCAUAUCCAUAAAUGUUUUCUAAAAAAUUAUUAGAUGCAACUAAAAAUCCAAAAAAUAUAUUUUCAAAUAACAAAUUUGAUGAUAACUUUUCAUAUUCAUAAAUGUUUUCAGAUUCAUAUUUUUUCAUAAGUGUUUUCAAAUUUGAUGAUAUUUUUUCACAUUCAUAAAUGUUUUCAAAUUUGAUCAUCAUUUUCUAAAAAAUUAUUAGAUGCAACUAAAAAUCCAAAAAAAAAGUUAGUAAUGGCGCACCAGGGGAAGGUGUGCCAUUGCUAUCACGGUGUUUAUGGCGCACCCCUAAAAGGUACGCCAUUGCUAACCCUCCUCCACUCCACUUGCUCCCCUCUCCCCUGGCCUCUCUCCCUCCCUCGCCAGAUCCACCUCUCCCACACCUAACCCGACGACCCCGUAGGAGCACGCCACCGUCCACCCGCGCCCGCUCCACUGCCCUGCCUCCUCGGCCCCCCUCCCCACUUGCCCCCUCGCACUUCCCCUCGCCCUCUCCGCCAUCUCCUCUACCUCAGAGCCCAGAAAGCCUCGCGCUUCCCUGCUCUCGCGCGAAGAGGUGGCUCCGAGAAGCCGAGCUCCAUUGCCGCAGAGGGUAGCAGCGCCGCGCAGCCGUGAGUACUAGGGAGGAGCGCCCCGGCGGACUGGAGAUCUGCUGCUGCGAAGUGCCGCAAUGGGCCAGGGAGGAGCGCCACCACAGAUUGAGGAAGGCCGCCUCCCGGACCGAGCUCCUCACACCACCGUAGAUCAAGGAGGACCGCCGCCCCGACCGAGCUCCUUCCUCAUGCCGCCCGCCUCUCCCCGACUUCGGCGCGCUAGCCCCCAGGUGAUUGAGGCCAUCCUACCCCAAUCCCAUCUCCUCCCAUCGGCAAUCCCCAUACCCUCGUCGCCGAUUGGCUGCGUGGUUCUUAUUGGAGCGUGGCUUGAAUUCUAGUGAUGCUUGUACUUUGGAUGCUUUUGAAUUUCAGUGAUGCUUGUACUCUGUAUACUUUUAAAUUUCAGUGACAAGUAGCAUGGAAAUUAACUUGUACUGAUAAUGCUAAGAAUUGACCUGUACCGGUUCUUGUAACAUACUGUAUAUACAGAUACUGGAUUUGAUUGGAUAGGAUUGACUGAUAAUGCUAAUAGUUUGAGCUUGUUGUCUCUUAAGGAAUCUAAACAAAAGUGUAUUGUGAAAGCAUGGAAAUCUUGUUUGAUGCUUCUCUGCACUGCACUACAUGCUGGCAUAUAGAAGAUUCUUCUCCGAAACUGAAUGUAUUUUAAGCAUUUGAUUCAGCAUUUUUAGCUUACCUCCAUGGCUUGCUGCAAUCUUGAAGUAACACAAUUUUGGCUGUAGUGCAUCCCCUGUAAAGUUCAUGCCAUGUGCUUGUCUAGUAUAUACUGUAGUACAAACAUUGUUAACUGGAUAUUUUUGCUCAUUGUUUGCUAGACCUGUCUAGUAUAUGUUUGCUAUUUGCUAUAUUAUUUAGUGUUGAAUGUAUUUUUUGGAUCUGGUCAGAUUUCUCACCAGUGACCUUGGUUGCCAUUAUCUUAAUUCAAAAGGUGCUAGCACUGAAUGUCUUGCUCUGUGCCCAUCUAUGGCAUGAAAAUGGGUCUUGUGUGACUACUUAGAAUGUUUUAUUGAUAGUCUCUAAGUAACAUUUCAAAUUGUAUUGUAGUUUGAAUCUUCUGUAGUUCAUGCCGUGGGCACUCAACUAGGGUUAGAUAUAGCCAUCUAUUUUGAGUUUUGUUUGUUGAUUUUGAGAUCUUUUGUAGGGAUUUUGAUUUUGAGGUGGUGUGAGUGUUAGGGUUUUCUUUGCUUUCUUGGAGGUGCACUCAGUGAGGCUUCUGGUAUGUGUUAUUAAUCACUUAUUCUCUUUUGUUUUUUAUUUAUUUCCCCCCUGUUAUUUAUAGAUCUUGGUUAGGUAUACCUUAUGCCUUGUGUAGUAUAGUUAAUUUUCUGCUUGAUUUUAGUUAUCAUCAUGCUUGUAGUUAGGGAUCCCCUCAUGUUAUUUUUUUGAUGAAUCGCUAGGGGGCAAGCCGCCCCACCUGUUUUUUUUUAAUUUUGCCCCACCUGAAUUAUAUUACUCAAUUGCAAUUAAGCAAACAUGUUCAAGCUGGUUAUCAGCAUGUCUUGUAUUUUGAUCAUGAGAAGCAGUAGCAUUGAAACUUACAAUGGUUUUUGAACACCCACUAUUAAGUAAUAAUAAGUCUAUAUUCAUAUAAGCCUGAGCAGUACAGUAGCUGAACCCACUAGCAGCACUGCAGCAGCUAACUAAGCUAUAUGCACACAUAGAAGAAAAUUACUUUGACAGAACACCCACAAACACAACGGAACAUAUAUACAACAAGUUUGGUGGAAUUCUAUUUCAAGAGACUAAAACUCAGUGUUGAUUUGCCAUGACACAAACAAAAUGUUUUCUUGCAUUAGAAUUUUGACUGAAUAACUAGUUCAUGCUGACCUGAGAUGGUUGGUUGCUGUCAACUUCGGAGGAAUAAUAAGUUGUUAUUCUGCUGCUGUUGUGUUGUUAUCUGCUGCUGCUGGUUAAAGUUCUUUGGAGGGUAUGAGAAGAAGCAGAGCAUUCAGUUUUGGCAAUUUCAUUUGUUGCUCUGUUGUUAUCUGCUUUGAGAUGCUGCAGUUCAUACGCACCUGCAAGAACUCUCUGGAGUAAAAUCUGCUUGUUCAUACCCGUUUCUCCUGAAAUGUUGAUUAAUUUCCGUUUCGGUUGAGAAUGGGGAACUCCUAGGUCAAGAAAAUUAGCAAAGGUCAUGCCCAAUUUUCUUGACCUAGAAGGUGCCCAAUUCUCAACCAAAACAAAAAUUAAUCAGCAUGUAUCUUGACAUCAACCAACUUUCUGAACACAUCCCUCAACAACUAGGUUAUCUUGAGAACUUAGAGGAGUUGUGGCUUUGGAAAGAGGCCUUGGAAAGCUACUCCUACUAGCUAGAUGGAGAUCUGUGCUCUGCUGUGGCACGCACUAGUUAAUUAAUUAAGCAAAACUAAUCUCUGGUCAAAAUUAUGGGCUAAUCAUGAUUAAAUGAUAGGAGAGGGAUGCAUGGCAGUGGCACCCAUUGAAGCCAUACAUAUAUACAAAGCUAUAAAAAGAUUAUACAAUAGUAGUGGUCUAGUGCUUUAGUGGUUGGAUUAGUUUAGUAUUUUUUCACACACUCAGGCACCCUUGCUUGCCAUGUGUGUGAGAGAGAUAGUGAGAGGAGACAAGAAGAAGGGGUUUAGGAAGAUGCUGCCUGCUCAUCAAAGCUAACCAUCUCCCCCUUUUCACCCCUUUUCCUUUGUCUUUUGUGGGUUGCAAGGAAGCUACUGUCUUAGCUAGCUUAGCUUGUGCACAAAUCCACUGCCACUGCCAUGAUUAAAUUAUCUUAGAUGAUAACAAUAACUAAUUGUCGGUAUCUAUCUGUAUGUGUAUCAUAUCAGUUGCUUGCACUUGGUAAAGGUGGAUGCAUGGCAUGGCAAUGCUAGCUAUAUCAAUUGCUUACUUACUAAUUAAUCAAAUGAUACGGCCGGGGUAUCUUUAGGGGCACCCAGUGAGCUAGUAUACUCCACAUGACUGGCCAGUAUUAAAACAAGUUAAUUACACCACCAUAUGACCGACUGGUCGAUUAAUUAAGCUACUAAUCCCAGUGUUACAAGCUAGAAAAUUAGCCUGCAAAGAUGAGAUCCCAUGCUGGCUGUACCACUGCAUCAUGCAAAGUGCCUUCAAGAUCCAAGGCAAUAUCACAAACAUCAUAGGCAAUUUGACCAAACUCACAUCAUUGUAUCUUUGCAGCAACCAACUUUCUGGACACAUCCCUCAAGAACUAGGUUACCUUGAGAACAUGGGCUUGGACCUUAGCAACAAAACACUAACAGGUUCCAUCCCAAAACACCUAGGCAAUAUCACAAACAUCUCUCAAUUGUUCCUUGACAAUAACCAACUUUUUGGCGACAUUCCUCGAGAAUUAGGUUAUCUGGUCAACUUAGAGAUAUUGUUCCUUGACAAUAACCAACUUUUUGACCAAACUAUUUUCCUAUUUAGAGCGAACAUGGCCAACAACGAUGAGGCCUGCGGUUCGGGUAAGCAAUUCUAGGAGCUGUCCCGGGAGAUGGAGGAAGAACCUCAUCGCUAUGAGGACGCCACGGAAGACACCGAUCUCGACUACACAACCCCUAGUGGUGUCGGGGAUGACACCACUGAUGGUGCCGCCGAGGAUGCCACCAUUGAUGAUGGCAGCGCAUGCACAGAUGGCAGCCAACCGAAGAGGCAACGGAAGAACCGGCGCCCGAACAUGCGUGGCACCAUCAAGCAGGAAUUUACUGAAGUGUCCUCCAGUGGGAAUCCAACGGCGCCCAAAGAAUUAGUCAGUGGGUACUCGGGACAACUCGGGUGCAUUCUUUGGAGCACCGUCUCGAUCAACACCGAGAACCUAAGGCAUCGUGACCGAGGGAAUUUGCGCAACCUCCUCUUCACGAAGCUGCAUGAACGAUACAAGUUCCCCGGUGACUUCGCAAACACACGCCUCUCAGGGAAUAAAGUGAACAGUGCCACCCUCACGAAUAUGAGCACGACCCUGGCUACUUGGUUCACCGCCGUGAGGAGAAGGAUUCUAAGAGGUGAUAGUUAUGAGAAGAUCAAGGAGACAAAUCCUUCGAUCAGCGAAGCUGACUAUCGGGAGUUCAAGAUCAAGUGCGAGAGCAACGCAACUGCGGAAUCAAGUCAGUAGGGGAAAGAUAUGCGGGACUUGAACUUAGGGGUCCACAAACUCGGUCCCGACGGUUACAGAGUGGCGGAACCUAUAUGGGACAAGGAGGACGCGAAGCGUGCCGAGCAAGGCCUACCGCCCCUCUUCGAUAAAUACCAUGACAAGCAGACCAGUAACUAUGUCAGGGCCCAGUACAAGGUGGAGCCGGUAACAAAGGAUCUUACCACUGAUCGAAAUACCAAGGCGCUUGAGCUUGUUCUGGUAAGGAAUACACCCCCACGUAAUUAGCUCCAUAUGAUUGCAUUCUAAUUAAUGAAACCAAAUUUCUAAAUGGUUCACGUUCCUUCCGCAGGACAUUGAAAGCAGUAGCGCGGGGUCGUCUCAGAGCUCCCCUUGGGACACCACUUUAAAUAGGGUGUUGAACGUAAUGAAACACAAGGAUAAGUUCACUAAGCCGCCAUCAGCUGGUAGUGUGGCCGGCAAAGGCUUGUCCACAAAAUGGUCGGAAUACUAUAACGCUGGGUGAAAGGAGAGAAAGACCAGCUCAGAAAGCCAGGAGCGCGAGGUUCAAGAACUCAAGGCACAAGUGGCGUGGAUUUCGGAGAUGGUCCAAGAGCAAGUGCGAGACCAACUGGGAGCGACGAUCACCGCCAUUGUGUCUACCUUGAUUGAGGGGCUGUAGGUGUGGAUUGCGGGCGGCCAACAGGGGCCGCCCCCGAUUCCCAGCUUCACGGGCAGCAACUCGCACAACGCGCCGGUGGCGCCAUUGGUGUCUCCAGCGGAGGCGGUAUUGGUGUCUCCGGCGCCGGCCCGGGCAUUGGAGCUUAAUGCACCCAGGUGUGGGAAGAAUACGCCGACCGGCACCUCGGCAGCAAGCGGCCCCUCCAUCACUUGCACGUCCGCCGUUGGCGGUGCCUCGACAUUAGCCGAGCUCGACGCCAUCACGGUAACUAAGCCUCUCGGCCAAUGACUUCAUCUCGUUGCCUUUGACUGGGCAUCCCUGACGCCCUACAUGUUUCCGCAGGGCACCGCAAACGUUCCAUGCACUCUCCUGCACUUCGUAGGCGGCGAGUUGAUCGAUGUCGCCAAGGCCAGAAUCGUUCAAUCGGGCAACCCCAUGUUCCACGGUAAUCCCAUGCCACCCACCGUGUAUAGGGUUCAACUGGUUCGGGUGCUGCGGGGAUGCGGUGACUUGUUACCUCUGUUUCGACCCCAUGGUCCGACGAAGAUGAAGUGAUGACCCUCAGCACCUGCUUAAGCUGGCCCAUGCUUUGGCUGAAGAGCCAGAUUCGUUUGAGGGCGGGGGACACAACCCCACAGACAACACCGCUAGUCGUGCCGGCGCCAAGCCAUGGCAAGACCGCCGCAACGCUACCGCUGUCAGCUGAUCUGGACAUGCAUAUGGCACAGGAUCCGGAUGAUGGUACAUUUACCAACGUCGAUAAGUACUUGAACGAACAUGGGUAUGGUGAUGAAUUCUUAGGGCUGCCUCCUCAAGAACCCAACCUUGCAAAAUACGAUCGCGAUCUAGCUGGUACCGCGAAGAAACCCAAUUGCAACAUGCGUCGUCUGGCGUUCAGUUCUCAGGAGACGCCUCCAGCUGCCGCCUUCACUGAGCCUCAGAUAGCCGAGGUGCGAAAUAUUAUCAGCCCCAACACACUCAAGAAGGUGGUCUCUGAGCAGAACUCUAUCCCAUUACAACAGCAGGAGAAGAAGGGAGGAAAAAGAAAGAAUAACAAGGGUGCGAGCCAGUCGGCACCGAGUACGAUCCGUGCUCAGGACGGGCCACCUUCACCUAAGGAUAUCUCGAGGAGGGUGCAUGUGGCGGGUAGGCCGAUGCUACCAACUAAUCUGCUCAAUGCUGCAACCGGUGCUAUGCGGAGUGUGCAUGAUAGUGUUCUUUCUUUGGAGAAGUGGCGUCUCUCCGAGAAUGAUGUGGCAUACACGGUUUUCGUGGCCAAGGUGCCAGAGGGCAAGGGCUUUGUCGAUAGCACCAUCGGGGUAAUGAUCGUCCUGCGGUUUGAUGACAUCUUCGCUAUGUUUAACCUUCAUCCGCUGCACUACACCUUCAUUCGGCUAUUUUCGCUCAGUAUGGAGAUGCGGAUCAUUAGAGACAAGACCCCGGACAUCAUGAUAGUCGACCCCUUCUACAUGCGUGCCAAGAUCUUGGGCAGCGCUGGGGACCGGCAAGUCGCGAGUUCAUACCUCGAAGGCAUCAUUCUGGCGAACCCAGAUAAGGAUAACUUCCUCGUGCCUUACUUUCCCGAGUAAGUCAUCCCCUCACCGCCCCGUAACAUAUGAUUUCUUAGAUUUCGAUCAUUCUUUUUUUUCUAACAUUCCGUGUUUUGUGCAGUGACACACAUUGCACACUCAUCCUCUUAAGCCCAAAAUAUUCCAUGGCCACGUAUUUCGACUUGGACCGUCAGUCGAAGAAAGACUACACAAAUAUCAAGAAAGUUCUUGAUGAUGCUCUCCCCGGCUACGCCAGAUCUGGAGGCACCUUCAGGAGGCCAAUUUGUAGGUAUGGCAGGCAUGUGUUCACCCAUGUAACGACGUUCCCCUACGUCAAGCAGCCGCCUGGCGGUCAGAAAGAUGGCUACUACGCCCUCCAUCAUAUACGGGCGAUUGUACGGGACCAUAAUCACCUUCUGCUACCAACUAAUCUCAAUAAUUGGGCCGCACGCUUGUCGGCAAUUCAGGACGCGAACAUCAGACAAGAAUUCUUUCGCAUCCAGUCGAAGUUUGCGGAAAUCAUCCAUCAAGAUGUCCUUCGUACCUCGGGGUAGUUCUACCCCAGAUAUCAACCGUUCAACAGUGAAAUAGAAACAACGCUACAAAUACAGGCUGCCAACGACCGCGAUUUCAUGACCAUCACGAUAGACGGUGGCUUUAUUCACGCCUCGGUCCCAGAGUCGAGUCAAAAGUAGUGAUGCUAUGUAGUUCUGAAAUAUCGAUUAUCUCAUGUUGUAAUUAAACUUUAAUGAACUCGUAUGUCUCUUUAGUUUGGACAUCGUUCAACUUAUAUGUAAUCGAUGCUAUUUAUUUGUAGGACCAUGAAUCAUGCUAUUAAUGUGUUGCUUUUCUCUUCCGAUCCUUUUGUUGCAUACUUAUAUAUUGCUUAUGUAUUGUCUGUGAUUUGCUACUAACGUUUUGUUUGUCUAGUGCAUAGAGAUGCAGUCAUAUGUCGUGUACAAGGGUAAGGUUUCCGGAGUCCUCGGAGACAGGUUCACCGUUUUAGCGGUAACAGUUACAAAAGAUACACCACUAGGGCGGAGGCGGAAGCUAGAUACGCGCGCUAUCUAGCGGGAGAGAGGAGGGAGCGUUGGAGGAACCGGAUGAAGACCAGUUUCAUCGCGAUGAUGCUCAAUGUGACCGCAGCUCUCUUCUAUGUGAUGGUAGUUUAGAUGAUCGAUAUCGACUUGUAAUGUGAAGACAAACUCGCUACUCGCGGUCUCGAGACUUGUAAUGUUCUAACUUUGUUCGGUAUUUUGAAUUCGGAGACUAAUAUGAUGAAUUGUAUUCGGAGACUAAUCUUCUAUUGUAUUCAAUAAAUCUGUUGUUUAUAUGUUGUGCUGUUUAUAUUCUAUGUUGUAAUGUAUUUUGUAACCUGUGCAAAUAUCAGAAAAGAAAAAAAAAUUCCUAAUAUUCAUAGUAGUGGCGCACUAUAUUGCACUUUAGUGGCGCACUGGAAUAAACACACCAGUAGCGCAUUAUCUAAAAGUGCGCCAUUAGUAACCCAGAGCACAAGGUAAAUAUGGCCCCCUGGGAGGCAUAGUAAUGGCGCACCGGUGGACAUAGUAAUGGUGCACUAUGUGGUAUGCCACUAUUAUCUCGAAUACUAAUGGCGCACCAGAGGUGCGCCAUUACUAUUUGUUACUAGUGGCGUGUUAAUAGUGGGCACCUGCAGUGCGCCAUUAAUGGCAAAAACAGAUGCGCCACUAACAACCUUUUUUCUAGUAGUGAUUAGACCAGUCUAAAAAAUGCAGAACAACAUUCACCGCAUCCGCUCUGAAAAUUUCCUAGUUUCUUUGGAAGAAACGAGCCGGGGAAACCAUCCGGACCGGGGGCUUUUAGAGGACCUAUUCAGAAUAGGGCGUCACUGGUCUCCUCAGCUAUGAACGGUUUGGUCAGUUCAGUGUUAAGAACAAUAAGUUCAUGGGGGAUCACCUCAUCAUCCUUUGACGAAAUCUGUAGCAAGCUCCUAGAUACCCUCUUUUUCCUCGACCAUUUACCCUCUUUGUCUUCUAAUCUUGUAUGAUGGCAUUCUUUUUUUUUCCUCCAUGAGGCUUUUCUUUAGAAAUACCUAGUGUUCAUGUCCCCUUCUUUUAGUUCCAUUACUCUUGAACGUUGUCUCCAAAUCAUCUCUUCUCCGAGCAAGAGCUCGUCCAAUUCUUUAGAUAGAUUUUUUACUUGAUUUUGCUGAUCAACCGAGUAGGGGGCCUUCCAAAGAAUACUCAAUCCUUUUCUUAUCUUAGCUGUUUGUUUCAGUAUCGAACCGAAAUCUUUAUUUUCCCAACUUCUACCGCAUGGUUAAUAAUUUUGAUCCUACCUCCAAGAGAGUAUCGACGAAAUCACUAAUUAAGGAGUACUCCUUGUGGAGAUCACUCUAACUUUCCCAGGUUGCGACAAGUGGCGCGCUGCAUGUGCGUCACUUGUCGCAACCUCGAAGUUUUCCCUUUUUUCGUAGAUCUGUUUAUUCAAAACGUUUUAUCUCUUAAACCGUGCGUCCAAAUCUCGAACCGCUUUCGCCAUUGUAUUCCUCGCGUCGAGAUCUUCAAAAUUAGAUCCCAUGUUGACAGGUUUUGAUGAACUUUUUUUUCGCGAAAAAAACUGGACGAAAAAACCGUACCGGGAGCACGGGUUUCCCUUUCCGAAAGAGGCACACCCUUGCCUCUGACGAAAUCACAACCGUGCCUCUCGCAGAAGCAAAACCGUGCCUCUCUCGAAAGAAAAAAAAACAGAAAAUACGUUUUUUUUCGUUUCCGAGGAGGCACGGCCGUGACUCUCGCGGAAGCAAAACCGUGCCUCUCGCGAAAGAAAAAUAAAAUGAAAAAGUGUUUUUUUUUGUUUCCAAGAGGCACGGCCGGGACUCUCGCGAAAUCACAACCGUGCCUCUCGCGGAAGCAAAACCGUGCCUCUCGUGAAAGGAAAAAAAAACAAAAAACACGUUUUUUUUCCGUUUACAAGAGGCACGGCUGUGCCUCUCGCGAAAUCACAACUGUGCCUCUCGCAAAAACAAAACCGUGACUCUCGCGAAAAAAAAUGCGUUUUUUUUGCGCAAAUUUUUUUCCGUCGAAAAGCUAGGGAGGACCGGUGAAAAACCAAAACGUCAAAAACCCCCCGGAAAAACCCCGUUUAAAAAGCCAAAAACGGGUGCGGAAAAAUAAAAAAAAUAAAAUCCAGAGGGAGUGCCCACAGCGCGACACGCGAAUGGCUGAGAGUGCGUUAAGUGACGCUUGAUCCUUGCGAGCCUCCCGAAGAAGCGCUCGUUAAUUAGUUGCUCCCGAGUACCGACUAUAUAUUUCUUCUUCCAAGAAGCUUCAACCGAGUUCUUAAGCGUGUCCACCCUUUCCCACAUGUAUCAUACCGAAACAUGGGCUGAAAAUAACCAGGCAUAUUCCAGUUUAUUGGCUAACUUCCCAAGACUUAAAUUUCUCUAGGUAUUUGGUUCAGUGUCUUCUAAAAGGGUAUAUGGUUCAAUAUAUCUUAUAAAAGGUCGACUAGCAUAUGCUUAAAGUACAGGGUACUUGUGUGCGAUUUUGGUCUUUUUUUUAUAAGAUUGUUAUUUUUAAUAGACAAAGGUAGAGUGUGGUUUCAAUAGACCUAAAUAUUAUGAACGUGGUGUGACACGCUUUUCAUGUCAAGCCAUCUCUAUUGUCAUGUUUUAAAGUGGAAUCCCUCUCCUUUGUUGGUUCAGUCAUGUAUGUUGUCAUGUUCUUAAGUGAAAACUCUCCUUUGGUGUCUUACUCUGAGAAUAUUCCAACAAUAUCAGCCUUACAUCAUCAUACGCAAAAUCAGACUAUAAUAGUCGGCGUGCAACAGCAAGAUUUUUUUUUGUGUGUGUAGAAAUUAAUUCAACAGCGAGUUCAGAUGAAUAAAAAUAGCGUCUGCCACUAGUGUAAUAGAAAUUUGUACAGCUUAAUCCAAGAAUAAAGCAUCUCACAAGCAACUGAAAUGAAAAGGGUACAAACCAAACCUAAUUCCUUCCUCCUAAUUUGGUGACUUGGAUCAUGGUAGUCGCCGGCAGAUUACCUAACAUCAUGGACGUCAAGACCUCGUUUGUUUGCUCCGCGUCUAUGCUCCCAUCUUUGUCGCCCUCGAUGAUUUCCACCGAUUUUAGGUUGGGGGUGAGGGAUAUGGUCCGAGGUAGCUCCACCAUUGAACUGUUUGGGAACUCAUGGCACUGUAGGCAAGACGAACAAUUAUUAGGAGGUAAAAAAUUAUAAUUUCUGAGAAAGCAGGAUUAGUUAAGCGGGUGUACCUGACAGUUCUUUAGAGUGAGCUUCUCUAGGGCUGGAGCAUUAUGCAGAAAACGGCAGAGCGUCUGAGCAUCGCCGCCAAUCUCGGAAUCCUCAAGGACCAAGGUCCUCAUGCUGCGAAACACCGGUAACCCAUGGUGCUCCUCGUCGAGCAUCGCCUGCAACAUUGGCCGCGGGAACUUGUCCUUGGCCAGUGGCGGCAUCAGCGGCAUCGGCGGCUGAUCUGGCAAGAAGAAUGGUCCAGGUGGUUGAACAAAAGGUAUAUAUGCGUGCAGCAUCUCCGGCUGAUAUUGAAAGAAUUGAGCUCCAACAGGUGGAGCAUGAGGUGUAGGUUGCUCAACUACUGUCUGCAUCGCAUUGCAUAUACGUACAGUUAAUAAAUCAGACAUUUAUGCGCAGUAAAAGUAAAACAGAAAUCAAUUACUAUAUAGAGUACUAAUUGAGCAAGAGCAAGGGCAGUAUAGAUAGAGCACCAUGUUGCCAAAGCCGUGCAGCUUCAGGGUGCAGACGUGGGACAGAGAGCCGAUGAAGUUGCACAGAGCCCUGAGCAGAUCCCUGUCCUGCUGAAGGUAGUAGCCGCCCCCCUGUUUGUGCCGGAGAUCAGGCGUCCCUACCAGGCGGACGGAUGCUUGGACGAGGCAAGGCGCCUCCUCGAGGACGACGGCGAAGGAGAUGAGGCACCGGAAGUUAACGGCGAGGUGCAGCGACGCGAGUCGAGGGGCGGCGAUGGUGAAGGUUAGGCUCUCGCUGUUCCGAUUAGAGGAUUCGACUACGAGGUUUUUAAGCGUGCCGGACGCGAUCCUCGGGAGCGAUGCUGAUAACCUGGUGCCCGUGAUCUGCAGGUCUUCCAGCACGGGGAGCCCGUAGGCGAGGUGCUCCGCGAAAUCACGGUGGAGGGUCACCUGGUCGAGGCGCAGGCUCGUGAGGCGGUGGGAGGCUAGAGGGGGCAGCCUGACGGAGCCACGCACGUCGAGCGCCGCCGGGGAGCACUGGAGGCCGCGACGCACCCACCUCGUGUACUUGGUCACGAAGAUAUCAUUGCCGUAUCCGUACAUUGACGGAUCGCUCAACCAUAACGGAGGGAGGCGCAGCCGCAGGGUUUGCAGGGGCGCAGCGCCGGCGCUCCGAAUCCGAUGGACCAGAAGGCUGUCGGCGAAGUCCUCGAAGUCGGCGAACUCGUCCGGCUGCUCCUUCCCGUAGUUAGCGAGCUGGGCGGGGCUCAGCGGCCACGGGCUGGGACGUAGAGUCGCAUCGGGGCGGAACUCGCCGAUAUCGACGUCGAGGCACGGGGACGUGGGCCAGAGGUGCUGCCACCGCCGCGACAGCACGCACGUCUGAACGACCUGCCGGGCCUUGAGGCGCGACAGGAUGUCAUAGAGGAGGCAGUCCGGCAGGUCGCUCAGCCGGUCGUCCAAGCUGCCGCCGGCACGCUUCGCCGUCCUCAAGGCUUCCAUGCUGAUGGAUCUUCGGUUUGGUGCGCGUCCUUGUUUUACGGAUCAAUCUACCCAUCUACCCAAUCUAUAAGGAGAGAGUAUUUAACCAAAAACUACCACAAUUCACGGAACCGUGAGGAAAAACUACCACUUUACGAUUUUAUACGAAAAACUACCGCUUUUUUCUUAAACCUUGGCAAAAAACUACCAAGUCUGAAAAGAGCCCGCUUUGGCUCUUUUAAGCGUGUUUCUGACAGAGUUGGCCCACACAUAAGCAGGCUAAAAAGCAAUCGGGUCCCUAGUUUUUUUUCAAAAAAGGCUCGCGACGACGGCGGCGGCGGCGGCGGCUGCGCACGCACGCAAGCCAGCCGGUCAGCAAGCGGCGGGCGUAGUGGCGGCGGUGUUCGUGCUCCUCUACUUCUCCUCGCUGCAGCAGCCCAGCCCCUCUUCUCCUUCUCCACUGUCUCCUCUCCGUCUCCUUCUCCUCUGCCUCCUCUCCUUCUCUUGCAGCAGCAGCACGGGCACGAGCUCCUCUCUCGCGCAGCCCCGCCGCACUGCACAGCCGCACCUCGUCGCAGCCCCACUGCCGCACGCGCACACGCAGCCGUGCGCACAGCCCUUGCGCAGCCGCUCGAGCAGCCGCCCCGCCGGCUCGCCGCAGCAGCGCGUGCAGGAUCCUCCCCUUGCCCGACGUAGCCGGGCCCCAUGGCGCGCGCAGCUCGCAGGGCUGCCGCGAGCUCGCCACGCCGCUGCCGUCGCGCAUCCCAGCGCCUCCUCGCACGCGUGCACGCAGCCGCCUGCCCCCUCCAGUCGCUGGAGGACUGGAUUGAUUUUUUGAAAAAAAACUAGGGACCCGAUUGCUAUUUUAGCCUGCUUAUGUGUGGGCCAACUCUGUCAGAAACGCGCUUAAAAGAGUCAAAGCGGGCUCUUUUCAAACUUGAUAGUUUUUUGCCACGGUUUAGGAAAAAAGCGGUAGUUUUUCGCAUAAAAUCGUAAAAUGAUAGUUUUUCGUCACGGUUCCGUGAAUUGUGGUAGUUUUUGAUUAAAUACUCAUAAGGAGACGUAGUUCGGUCGUGGAGUGCGGAACUUGGCUACCUUUCCGCGAUUUUUUGUAACAACUUUCCGCGAUAUUUUUGUAUGCAUCACAGAUGCAAGAGCUCAUAUACGCGCGCAUACAUUCACCCUUAUGAACGCAUAUACGCAUACCCUAUCCUUAUGAGCACAUCCGAAAGACUGAGCCACAAUAUCAUCUUGAAAUUUACAAAGUCGUCGUAGGCACCUCGUCAUCGACGGGGACGUCUCCUCCCACUGAAUGCGCAUCACCGGAAAUUCUGAAAUAAAUCCAGAAAUAAAUGCGAGCACCAGGACUUGAACCUGAUGGGCUAGGGAUACCACAAUGCCUCUAACCAUCCAACCACAAGUUAGUUUUUUUCGCAAUUUGUUGUUUCGUUGAUUUCUGUGGAUGUUUACGAGCCUUGUUUUGUGUGUUGGAUCCAGAUUCUCUAACCAGUCUUUAGGAACUAACCUAACCUUUGCGAAGAUCAUCUCCAAUCAAGAUAGAUGAUGUACUAGCAAAAGAGCCCGUGUGUUGUAACGGGAGGACAUAAUUUCAUGUGCACCAAGUAAUCCAUUCGUGUUGCCACUUCUGUACGCCACCAUCAUCCACGAUGGUCAUGUGGUCCAAUUAUUCACCUCUUUCAAUUCCAAGCCGUCGAUGAGCUUGGUUGUGCGGCAAUGUCGUGUACGGGAACUUGCGAUUGAGCUUAGCUAUCGGUAGAGGGACUUGAGGCCUUCCUACAUGUGACGUCGGCAUGCAACUCGAAAUUUAGACAUACUAUUAGAACUUAAAAAGAAACUCGAAUUUUUGGGGUUCAUGCUGGAGUUUGCAGUGCUUGUGUAUGUGUGGAUGCUACCUUUCCGAGUUUUGUUGCUUCGUUCAAUUCUAUGGUUUUUUUUGUCCUUGUGUAUGUGUGCUGCUUCGUUGGUAGGCACGUACUAGAAAGCUACAAAGCCAUGUACCACAUACGUUCAACAAGUGAUGUUUUGACUCAGCUUUCACAUUGUUGGAAUCGCCCUGUACUAACUAAAAGAAGAUAGAAAGCCCAAGGCCUCAAACGGCCCAAGCAACCUGAAAAGCAAGGUAGGGCAAGGCACGUAUGAGGCGGCCAGCCUAAAAACCUGCCUAAUUGUUGCCUAAAUCGGUGGAUUCUGGCCUAGAGGGAGGAAUUGUGAGAUUUGACAAGCUUUGUCACUUUUUAGCUAAAUCUAGGCCUUUUUUAGGUAAACCUCAUGCGUGCCUCGCUUCAUGUGCCUGAAAUCUGGCUAGUGCCUCAGUUAACUUGUGGGCUUGGUUGGGCCUUGCCUUGCUGAGGGAGUCCUGGACUAAGGGGUCCUCGGGCAUCCAGGCUAUGUGAUAUGGGCCGGGCUAAUGGGCCGUGAAGAUACGAAAUCAAAGACCUUCCUCUGUGUCCGGAUGGGACUCUCCUUUGCGUGGAUGGCAAGCUUGGCAUUCACAUCAUGCAUCUUCCUUUCUCUGUAAACCGACUCUGUACAACCCUAGAUCCCUCCGGUGUCUAUAUAAACCGGAGGGUUUAGUCCAUAGGGCUAGAACAAUCAUAUGGGCUAGACAUCUAGGGUUUAACCAUUACGAUCUCGAGGUAGAUCAACUCUUGUAACCCCUAUACUCAUCAAAGUCAAUCAAGCAGGAAGUACGGUAUUACCUCCGUUAAGAGGGCCCGAACCUGGGUAAACAUCGUGUCCCCUGCCUCAUGUUACCUUCGAUCCUCAGACGCACAGUUCGGGACCCCCUACCCGAGAUCUGCCGGUUUUGACACCGACAUUGGUGCUUUCAUUGAGAGUUCCACUGCGUCGUCGCCAGAAGGCUCGAUGGCUCCAUCAAUCAUCUACAACAAUAUUGCCCUGAGGGAGACUUUUCUCCCCGGCCAAAUCUUCUUAUUCGGCGGCUUCACACUGCGUGCCAAUUCGAUUGGCCUUCUGGAGCAGAUCGACAGCUACGCCCCUGGUCAUCAGAUCAGUUUUGGAAACCUAAAUUAUGUCGCUGAUAUCCAAGGAGACUUGAUCUUCCAAGGGUUCGCGACCUCGACCACAGCUCCGGCCUUAGAUCCGGAACACAUCACCGAGUCCGAAGACGGGAGUUUAGAGCCCGCUGGACUCUCCGCAGCCAUAGAGCUCAACACCGGAGAUACGGAGGGGAUCGUUUCACCGGCAGGCCCGGAGUCACGCCAGACUCCCUUCAUCAACAUAAAGCCGGACUCACCCCCGAACACCAGCUCCGAACUCUCGAGGUCCGUGUUAUGCGGACUCGGCCAGGGAACUCCCGUCCCGCCUAACUCCACAGACCCUCGCUUCCCCGUCCAAUCCUCGCUCUUGAACAAGGCCCUGAACUUAAUGCGAUCUCUCGCCAUUGUAGAAAAAUCACUAUAAAACUACAUCCAGCCCAUACUAGGGGCUGAGAGCGGGGAAUUUCAUGUCCCACCCACCACCCACUUCAUAGCCACUGUUGAGGAUUUAACCGACACGCUCGACUACGAUUCCAAAGACAUUGACGGUAUGGACAAUGAUACCGGAGAUGAGAAGAGCCAGAACCCGCCGUUCACCGGACGCUGGACGGCCACUUCCUCGUAUGAUGUAUACAUGGUGGACACACCCAAAGAGGAUGACGGAGACGAUGGGAAGAAUCUAGAGGACAAGCCUGCUGAAGCACCUCCGAAGCGUCGACGUCAGCAGCAUCGAUCAAAAUGGCGUCGCGAAAAAGACAACAAUACCGGCACCGAAGAAAAUAAUACCCCGGAGAAUGCCGAAGACCAAGAUGCCCGAUCGAGCCAACAUCUGAACAGGAUGAUUGGGAAGAGGGGAAAGUCAAACCCGAUGAUCCUAUCGGGAAUGAGGGCUCCGAGGAUAGUAAUUACCUACCGAUCUCCGAAGAGGACGAGAGCCUCGGCGACGAAGAGUUCAUCGUGCCAGAGGAACCCCUCGAAUAAGAGCGCUCUAAGCGCCGGCUAAUAGCCACUACAAGAAGCCUGAAAAAGAAGCGACAUCAACUUCAAGCUGACCAGGACUUACUCAUUGACAGAUGGACUAAUGUCCUGGCUGCCAAGGAAUACGGUCUCGAGCGCCCAACUAAGAGUUACCCAAAGCGCAGGUUGCUCUCCCAAUUCAACAAUGAGGUCCUAGAACCUAUACCGACAGCGCGUAAUGCGGCUGACGGGCCGGGACAGAGCGGCAACCCAAGCCGAACACCAGCCCGCACCACCUCGCCCUAGAUGUAGAGAAACAGUGGCUGCAAGGUACAUGCACGACCUGCGAUAGGACCUGGACAAUAGAGCCGGUCAUACCAGAUCAAUUUAUGGAUCAAGGGGGCAUGCACCAGCGCGAGAAGACGGCCAUCAGGCCUGGCGCGAUAAGCACAACCUCACCAGGGCCGAAAACCGCAUACUAACUCCAUCCGAACUGCGUCGUGACGUUGCUCGAUAUAGAGGAGCCACACACCCCCUAUGCUUCACCGAUGAGGUAAUGGAGCACUAGUUCCCAGAAGGGUUUAAACCCGUGAACAUUGACUCAUACGACGGCAUGACAGAUCCCGCAGUAUGGAUUAAAGAUUUUCUUCUCCACAUCCACAUGGCCCGCGGUGACGACUUACAUGCCAUCAAAUACCUCCCCCUAAAACAUAAGGGACUAGCACGACACUGGCUGAACAACCUCCCAGAAAACUCUAUCGGUUGUGAAGACUUGGAGAACGCCUUCAGAUACAACUUCCAAGGUACCUAUGUUCGGCCCCCGGACGCUGAUGACCUUAGUCACAUAAUCCAGCAACCCGGUGAAUCAGCCCGGAAGCUCUGGACCAGGUUCUUAAUCAAAAAGAACCAGACUGUGGAUUGUCCGGACGCCGAAGCCCUUGCGGCCUUCAAACACAACGUUCGAGAUGAGUGGCUCGCCCGACACCUCAGCCAAGAUAAGCCGAAGUCCAUGGCAGCCCUUACCGCACUUAUGACCCGCUUUUGCACGGGAGAAGAUAGCUGGCUAGCUCGUAGAAGCAAUAGCACCAGCGACCCAGGCACCUCUGAAGCCAGGGACGGCAAUGGCAAGCCAAGAUGCGACAAGCACAAAUGUCAAAACAAUGACAAAGACAUGGCGGUCAAUGCUGGAUUCAGUGGCUCCAAAUCCGGUCAGCGGAAGAAGCCAUUCAAAGGAAACAAAGAUGGUCCAUCCAGUUUGGACAGAAUACUUGAUCGGCCUUGCCAGAUUCAUGUCUUUAAAUAGGUCGACAAGCUCAAUGCCGAACACAAGGGGAAAAGGCCGCCCAGCGAGGACGACGAAGAAGAGCCUCGCCCACCGAACACAGGGGGGCAGAAGAAAUUUCCCUCCGAGGUCAAAAUGGUGAAUAUGAUCUAUGUCACCCACCUCCCCAAACCGGAGCGCAAGCGUGCAUUAGGGGACGUCUACGCCAUAGAGUCGGUCGCCCACAAAAUUCAACCCAUGGUUGGCUUGUCCUAUCACCUUCGACCAAAAAGACCACCCGACCAGUAUCCGUCAUGGAGGUUCGGCAGCUUUGGUCCUCGACCCAAUCAACAAUGGAUUCCACCUCACGCGAGUCCUCAUGGACGAUGGCAGUAGCCUUAACCUGCUUUACCAGGACACCGUCCGCAAAAUGGGUAUUGAUCCGUCAAGAAUCAAGCCCACUAAAACUACCUUUAAAGGAAUAAUACCCGGCGUAGAGGCCCGUUGCUCGGGCUCAAUAACAUUGGAAGUUGUCUUCGGCUCGCCUGACAACUUCCGCGGUGAAGACUUGAUCUUCGAUAUCGUACCCUUCCGAAGUGGCUAUCACGCACUGCUCGAACGGACCGCGUUCACUUGAUUCAACAUGGUCCCGCACUAUGCUUAUUUAAAACUCAAGAUUCCCAGUCCACGCAGCGUCAUUAUAGUCAAUGGAAACACGGAAUGCUCCCUCCGCACGGAGGAGCACACCGGGCUCUCAUAGCCAAAGUACAGAGUGCCCCCCUCAAGCCGCACACCUCAUCGGCCAUCAAGCCGCAUGUUGGGGAUAUAACUAUUUGUGUAAGCCGCCCAGGAGGGCCGGGUUAUGCAAAGAGGAUUCAUCAAAGAGAAGCCCAAGACCAAAGCAUGAAGAUGGCGGUUCAUAAAGAGUUUAAAAGCCCACAUGCGACUUAAGGCCCGUUGUGGUAAACCGCUGUAAUAAUAUUACUUGUAUCAUAAGGUAGAUUUAACUAGUCACCGAGCCGGACAUUGUUUAUAAGCCGGCCGGGACUCUGUAAGCUGUAGGGCAUCCACCCGUGUAUAUAAGGGGACGACCCGCUGGCGGCUUAGGGCAAGAAACAACUCAUCGAGAGCCAGGCAUAGCGUAUCUCGCUCCCUGGUCAUCGAAACAUCAAUACCAACCCAACUAGACAUAGGCCUUACCUUCACGGUAAGGGGCCAAACUAGUAUAAAAUCCUCUCAUUUCCUUUGUCCCGAUUAACCCCUUCAAGAUUCCUAGUUGCGAUGGCUCCACAACUAAGUCAUUUCACGAGGACAUCUGACGUGACAAUUUCACGACAGUUGGCGCCCACCAUGGGGCCAGCGCACGGUGGAUUUGAGUUCUUGAAGGGCAACUUCGAAGGGCUCAAGGGAUACGUAGUAGGCCGCAUGACCAAGAGUCGUCGCGGCAAGAUCUACAUUCACGAUGAAGGCUGGGGCCCCGACGCCGGCUCAAUUGAGUACGGGUACCGGGUCCCCUUCGGAGGGAUCCACGUCUUCAUCGGCCGGAUUGGUGAGCCUGGGCCUGAGCCGGACAACUGCACCGACCUCAUCGAGAUGGCUCAGCGUGCGAAACCCGCCCGAGCUCAACCCGGCAGGAAGCAUGUAUUUGUGGGCCGCGUCCACGGAGAAGAGCUUUCUGGAGGACCCGAAGAUGGUGGUGAGACGGCCGUCCACUCUGAUGGUGAUUCGUCCGCCAGUUCAACAUAUUCUCUGUAUCAAGUCCAAGAUGGUGUGCUCGGGGGCUGUUCCGAUGGCUUAAGUAUCCCGGACCCGUGCGAGUCACCAAAUUGGGCAGGAGUCUUUAUGGCUGGGACUCAACCCGGACAAAACUCUACAGCCGCGGCUACAAUUACUUCCGGGUUAGGAGCGGCCGGGACAGGAGGCCCUGUGCGCCCACCGGCUCAAGUGCUGAUAGACAUCAUGGACAAGCUUACGACCCUGUUAACUGCUACGGUUAUCCCUGCGAACAAAGAUGAGCAUGACGCAGAGGUAGCAUGGGUACGUGAGGAGAUAGCUCAGGCCAAGGAGGCCUUAGCAGCUGAGGAUACUAGACUAGCUACAGAGUGGGCGGCUCUCGAUGCCCGGGCACAGCAGUUGCAGUCGGAGGCUUACCAGCUCACGAUGAGUUUAAAUGCGUCCAAUGAGGUAAUGAGGAGGAGAUACCAGAAGACCCAAUCCCGGUUACCUCCGAAUUACGACCCUAGGGUUCUUUUUGCUACACCCGGAGCCGGCCCAAGUAACCCGCCCGAUGCAAAUCAGUUUAUAACACCCGGAGCAGGAGGACCGGCUCAGCGUCAGGAGAUGCCACCUCCUCAUAUGAGCAUGGCACCGCCGCGUUAUGUGCCGAUACCGGAGGGUCACUUUUCCAACCCCAUGGAGAAUUUAAUCGCAGCGCCAGCGCGUCUGGCGGCUCUUCCAGUGGACGGUGAUGAUCCAACAGCGGUGGAGACCCGGAGGAUCAGGGAACUUGUCCAGACAGCCCUGGCUUAGCAGGAGACCUAUUCUUACAACCGGGAUAGGAUUCAUUCAACCCCUCCGCCUUGGUUAGCACCGCCUCGUCAGAACUAGAGCCCGAGUUACAGCAGGCACAUGGAGUCCCAAGCUUUGGCAAGCAACACCCAACACCGUGACCAACAUGGUGGCUAUAACCCGGUGCAAGACCGAGUACGUCAGGAGAACGAGCGGGCGGCUCAGCUGGCGGCUCAACAGGUGGAUCAACGGGCGGCUCAUCAAGAUAUUUCAGAGUAUCCAACGACUUCUAUUGAGAUGGGAGUAGCCACCAGAACCGGUGGUGUUCCUUGUUUAAUACCGGCUUUGCGCAACGUGCGCCUGCCCAAGGACUUCAAGGGGUUUCGAAAGGUGCCGAGUUACACAGCCGACUUACAGCCUGGAGCAUGGAUUGAGAGUUAUGAGAUGGCCAUGGAGCUGUUGGAGGUCAGUGACGCGGCAAUGGCUAAAUACUUCACCAUGAUGUUAGAUGGAACGGCUCGAUCUUGGUUAAAAGGUUUACCACCUAAUUCCAUUGGUUCGUGGGAGGAGUUAAAAGCCCGCUUCAUCCAAAACUUCAAGGGCACCUGUAAGCAAUCUAUGUCAAUCGUGGACUUGAUGAUUUGUAAGCAGGGGGAGGGUGAAUACACCACCCAUUGGGUACGCCGAGUCAAGGAAAUAAUUCAUUCAUCUGAUAAGAUGGAUGCCGGCUCUGCUGUCCUCAUGCUGGAGAAAAAUUGCAACUUUGAACCGUUGAGGCAGAAAUUGGGGCGCCUUAAGCGUGAUUGCAGCGAUAUGGGAACGCUGAUGGCGACUUUAGUCAAAUAUGCCGAUUAUGAUAGUACCAAGGACCCCGCGUCUGAUGAUGAGAAGAUAGGGAAGGGAAAAAGGAACGGUAAUGGAAAGGGUCAACAACACAACCCGAGGAAUCACUGCGGCAAUAAGCGUAAGGUGGACGGCAGCCCGGAGCUUGUGGCCAACGCUAGUACACAGGGUAACAAUCAGAGACGUAAGGGUAAGUGGCCUCGAUCCGGCGGGUCAGGCCCAUCUCUUGAGCAGCUACUCAAUGAGCCCUGCCCGAAACACGGAACCCGGGAGCACCCCGCUACACACCUGUGGAAGGAUUGUGCGAUCAUGAAGGCGUUUAAAAAUUCCAAUACCUUUAAUGGUACUCAUGGACCUGGUGGCGGUUCAGGGGCUGGCGGCUUCCAUGGCCCGGGCGGCGGUUCAAAUUCCGGUUUUCAGGGACAGCCGGGUGGAAAUAAUCAGCAGCAAGCUGGUCAGGGAGGACAACAGCAGCAGCAGUCGGGUUACCAGAGCCAGCCGAAGCAGUUAAGCGGUGGGCAGUACCAUGUGUUUACCACUAGCUUAUGCAAACGUGACCAGAAGGUUCAUAAGAGGGCUGUAAAUUCGGUUGAGCCGGCAGUUCCUCGUUAUUUGAGAUGGUCAGAGCAACCAUCAUUUGGAGCAGAGAGGAUCACCCUCCACGCGUCGAUAAUCCGGGCCAGUUAGCCUUGGUGGUAGCACCCCAGGUUGGUGGAUAUAAAUUCACUAAGGUACUCAUGGACGGAGGCAGAAGCAUCAAUAUACUCUAUUAUGAGACCUUCCAGCAUAUGGGGUUGACCGAGAAGAAUCUGAGAACAUCCAACACUGUUUUCCACGGGGUGGUUCCAGGAAAGUUGGCUUACCCAGUUGGUAAGAUUGAAUUAGAGGUGGCCUUUGGAGAUGAGUAUGAUUCCAAGGCUGAGAAGCUGACGUUUGAGGUGGUCAAAAUCAGGAGUCCAUAUCACACUCUAUUUGGGUGACCAGCUUAUGCUAAGUUCAUUGCACAGCCGUGUUACGUUUACUUAUAGCUCAAGAUGCCGGGUUACAAGGGCACCAUCACCGUGCAUGGGAGUCGAAAGGUGGCUUUGGAAUGUGGAGAAGGCGACGCGGCUUACGCUGAGACGGCCUGUGCUGCGGAGGAGCUCAAAUUCUAUCAAGACAAUGUUGACCCGGCGGAUAUGACCUCCCUCAAGAAACCAACUACUGAGCAUGACCCGGCGUUGAAAUUUAAAUCGGCUGCUGAGACAAAGCUUGUUGACUUCACCCCGGGAGACGCCUCUAAGCAGUUCAGUAUCAGUGCCAAUUUGGAUCCUAAAUAGGAAAGCACGCUCAUCGAGUUCAUCCGUGAGAACCGGGACAUCUUUGCAUGGAAACCUUCUGACAUGCCGGGUGUACCGAGAGAACUCGCUGAGCACAUUCUCAAUAUUGAUCCGAAGUAUAAGCCGGUCAGGCAGUUUCUCCGACGAUUCAACGAAGAGAGACGAACAUCUAUUAGGGAAGAGGUGGCCCGGCUCUUAGCGGCCGGGUUUAUUGUUGAAGUUUUUCAUCCGGAGUGGUUGGCUAACCCGGUGCUGGUGCUCAAGAAGAAUGGCACUUGGCGGAUGUGUGUGGAUUACACGGACUUAAAUAAGGCUUGUCCGGCUGAUCCCUUUGCUCUCCCUCGUAUUGAUCAAAUCAUUGAUGCUACGACGGGUUGUGAAUGUUUGAGUUUUUUGGAUGCUUACUCUGGUUAUCAUCAGAUCAAGAUGGCAGUUAAGGACUAGGAGAAGACAACUUUUAUCACUCCAUUUGGGGCCUUCUGUUAUGUUUCUAUGCCGUUUGGGCUCAAGAGUGCCCAGGAAACUUAUCAGCGAUGUGUGCAGAACUGUUUGCACAAUCAAAUUGGGCGCAAUGUUCAUGCUUAUGUGGAUGACAUUGUGGUGAAGUCCAGAGAAAAGGAAACUUUAAUAUCCGACUUGAGAGAGACCUUUGACAAUCUCCGGGUUUACAAGAUGAUGCUUAACCCGGCCAAGUGUGUGUUUGGUGUACCUGCAGGCAAGCUCUUGGGCUUUCUGGUGUCAAAUAGAGGCAUUGAAGCUAAUCCGGAGAAGAUCACGGUGAUUACCUCUCUGGCUAAGCCGGCAUGUAUCAAUGACGUUCAACGCCUGGCGGGACGUGUUGCUGCUUUAAGCCGGUUCAUAAGCCGGUUAGGGGAGAAGGCCUUACCGCUAUAUCAGAUGAUGAAGAAAACUGACACUUUUGUCUGGAGCGAUGCUGCUAACACAGCCUUUGAAGAUUUAAAGAGACAGUUGUCUGAGCCACCGGUUCUUGCAGCUCCCAUUGAUAAAGAGCCGCUAUUGUUAUAUGUGGCUGCUAAUUCACGGGCCGUUAGUGUUGCCAUCAUGGUGGAGCGUAAGGAGGCAGGCAAGGAGCAUCCGGUUCAACGGCCGGUUUAUUACAUCAGCAAGGUACUCAUUGAGUCUAAACAAAGGUAUCCACAUUGGCAAAAGCUUGUUUAUGGUGUGUUCAUGGCAAACCAGAAGCUGAAGCAGUACUUCCAAAGUCACCCUAUAACGGUGCUAAGCUCAGCUCCUUUGGGAGACAUCAUUCAGAAUAGGGAAGCCACAUGACGAAUCGCUAAGUGGGCUAUUGAGCUUGGGCCUUAUGGUUUGAAGUAUAUGCCCCGUACUGCUAUCAAGUCUCAGGCCUUGAUGGAUUUUAUCAAUGAUUGGACAGAGUUGCAGGCACCUGAGGAGAAGCCAGACAAUACAUGUUGGACUAUUCACUUUGAUGGGUCCAGGCAGUUAGAAGGAUCCAGGGCUGGAGUUGUCUUAACUUCCCCUCGAGGUGACAAAUUUCGUUAUGUACUCCGGCUUAUGUUUCCCUGUACUAACAACGCAGCUGAAUACAAGGCCUUGCUCCAUGGUCUCCGGAUGGCUAAGGAGAUGAAUUUAAGCCGAGUCAGGUGUUUGGGCGACUCAGACCUCGUAGCUCAACAGGUCUCAGGCACAUGAGAUUCUAAGGAUCCCCUUAUGGCGGCUUAUCACCGUGAAGUGGAUGCUGUAGCAGGGUACUUCAAAGGGUAUCAGGUGGAGCAUAUUGAUAGAAGGAAAAAUGAGGCGGCUGAUGCUUUAAGCCGGUUGGGCUCUCAGCGUAAGAUGGUGCGCCUAACACCUUUCUUGACAUUCUGCAUAAUCCUUCUGUCAAAGUACCUACAGAGGAAGAGCUUGCAGUGCCAGACCCGGAGGCAUAGUUGGUGGCCGCACUUCACGUCAUCCCGGAUUGGACAUUGCCAUACUUGGCUUAUAUGACCCGGGGAGAGCUGCCUGAGGAUGAGACCUUGGCGAGACAAAUUGUCAGGCGGUCCAAAUCCAUGACAAUUGUUAAUGGCGAGUUACAUCACCUCAGUGUCACAGGGGCGUUCCAGCGUUGUGUGUCACCUGCAGAGGGUCAAGAGAUACUUCGAGAGAUCCAUGAAGGGGAUUGUGGUCAUCAUGCCGGUUCAAAAUCUCUGGUGGCCAAGGCUUUCCAUCAUGGUUUUUAUUGGCUGACGGCUCAUGCUGAUGCAGAAGAUCUUGUUAGCAAGUGUGACGGGUGUCAAAAAUUCUCACGACGAGCUCAUAUGCCGGCCCAAGAAUUGAGGAUGAUUCCAAUUACUUGGCCGUUUGCAGUCUGGGGGCUUGACAUGGUGGGACCUUUCAAAAGGUCUAAGGAUAAAAAGACACACCUCCUGGUGGCAGUGGAUAAAUUUACAAAGUGGAUUGAGGCAGAGCCGGCCAGUCAGUGUGAUGCGGCCACAACAGUUCAGUUCAUCAAAAAGGUGAUCUUUUGUUUUGGUUUUCCACAUAGCAUCAUAACUGAUAAUGGCACUAAUCUCUCCAAGGGUGCCAUGGAAGAGUUCUGUCAACGGGAACAUAUCCGGCUUGACGUUUCGGCUGUUGCUCAUCCUCAGUCCAUUGGUCAAGCAGAAAGGGCUAAUCAGGAGAUCUUAAGGGGUAUCAAACCACGACUCUUGGUCCCCUUACAGCGGACUCCGGGUUGUUGGGUGGAAGAGUUGCCCUCUGUGCUGUGGAGCAUGAACACUACGCCUAACAGGUCCACGGGUUACACGCCUUUUUUCAUGGUUUAUGGAGCAGAAGCAGUUCUGGCAAGUGAUAUCCGGCACGAUUCGCCUCGUGUGGUGGCUUACGUCAAGGCUGAUAAUGAAAAAGCUCGACAGGAGGCACUUGACUUGUUGGAUGAAGAGCGAGACUUGGCAAUAGCCCGCUCAGCGAUUUACCAGCAAGACCUUCAUCGCUAUCACAGCCGCCGGGUCAGAAGCAGAACCUUUCAGGAAGGCGAUUUAGUGCUCCGGCUCAUCCAGGAUCAGUCCGAUAUGCACAAGCUAUCCCCUCCUUGGGAAGGACCCUUUUUGGUCAGCAAGAAUCUGAAUAACGGGUCAUACUACCUCAUCGAUAUUCGAGAGCACAAAGAUUCAUGUAAGUCGGAGGAGGAGACCCGCCGGCCGUGGAAUAUAGCCCAUCUUCGGCCUUACUAUACUUAAGCCACCGACUCUUUAGAUGUAUAUAUUUUUUGACAAUGUAUAUAUAUUAUAUCAAGUAAUAAAGCAGGACCCGAGGGAGUCCUGGACUAGGGGGUGUCCGGAUAGCCGAACUAUCAUCAUCGGCCGGACUCCAAGACUAUGAAGAUACAAGAUUGAAGACUUCGUCCCGUGUCCGGAUGGGACUUUCCUUGGCGUGGAAGGCAAGCUUGGCGAUACGGAUAUGUAAAUCUCCUACCAUUCUAACCGACUCUGUGUAACCCUAGCCCUCUUCGGUGUCUAUAUAAACUGGAUGGCUUUAGUCCAUAGGACGAACAACAAUCAUACCAUAGGCUAGCUUCUAGGGUUUAGCCUCCUUGAUCUCGUGGUAGAUCUACUCUUGUAAUACCCACAUCAUCAAUAUCAAUAAAGCAGGACGUAGGGUUUUACCUCCAUCAAGAGGGCCCGAACUUGGGUAAAACAUCGUGUGCCUUGUCUCCUGUUACCAUCCGCCUAGACGCACAGUUCGGGACCCCCUACCCGAGAUCCGCCGGUUUUGACACCGACAUUGGUGCUUUCAUUGAGAGUUCCUCUGUGUCGUCACCGAUAGGCUCGAUGGCUUCUCCGAUCAUCAACAACGACGUAGUCCAGGGUGAGACCUUUCUCCCCGGACAGAUCUUUGUAUUCGGCGGCUUUGCACUGCGUGCCAAUUCGCUUGGCCAUCUGGAGCAGAUCGAAAGCUACGCCCCUGGCCGUCAGGUCAGAUUUGGAAGUUUGAACUUCACGGCUGACAUCCACGGAGACUUGAUCUUCGAUGGAUUCGAGCCACAGCCGAGCGCGCCACACUGUCACGACGGGCAUGAUUUAGCUCUGCAGCCGGACAUCGCCUUGGAGGCCGCACACGAGUCUGCUCCGAUGCUCAAUUUGGAGCCGGCCACACAUAUCGAGGACGGGUGGCUAGACACCGCCUCGGGGGCUGCAACCUCUACGGCGAUGGAGCCGAACACUGACCUUGUCCCUCAUGAAGCUUGUGACUCCGAGGUGCCAGAUUCCUCGCCGGACUCCGAACCUCCCGCACCCCCUCCAAUCGAAUUCGAUUGGGCACCGAUCAUGGAAUUUGCCGCUGCGGACAUCUUUCAACACUCACCUUUCGGCGACAUCUUGAGUUCGCUAAAGUAUCUCUCGUUAUCAGGAGAGCCCUGGCCGGACUACGGUCAGGACGGUUGGGAUGCGGACGACAAAGAAAUUCAAAGCCCACCCACCACCCACUUAGUAGCCACUGUCGACGAUCUAACCGACAUGCUAGACUUCGACUCCGAAGACAUUGAUGGUAUGGACGACGAUGUCGGAGACGACCAAGAACCAGCGCCUACUGGGCACUGGAAAGCCACCUCAUCAUAUGACAUAUACAUGGUGGAUAUCCCAAAGGAUGGGAAUGGCGAAGGACCAGCGGAGGAUGACCCCUCCAAAAAACAGCCCAAGCGCCGGCAUCAGCGGCGCCGCUCUAAAUCCCGCCACAGCAAGAAUGGAGAUUCCGGCACCGGAGAUAAUAACACCCCAGACAGUGCCGAAGACAACCCCCUCCAGCAAGAUUCAGCACAGGAGGACGGAGAUGCCAGCCCUCAUGAGAGAGCAGCAGACGAAGAGGUAGAGGAUUACAUGCCUCCCUCCGGAGACGAGGCAAGCCUCGACGACGACGAAUUCAUCGUGCCUGAGGAUCCCGUCGAACAAGAGCAUUUUAAACGCAGGCUUAUGGCCACGACAAACAGCCUCAAGAAAAAGCAGCAGCAGCUUAGAGCUGACCAAGAUCUGCUAGCCGAUAGAUGGACUGAAGUCCUUGCGGCCGAAGAGCAUGAGCUCGAACGCCUCUCCAAAAGCUACCCUAAACGCAAGCUGCUCCCCCGAUUAGAGGAGGAGGCAUAUGAACCUGCAUCACCAGCAGACAAUACGGCUGACCGACCACCCCGUGGCCGCGACAGAGAGGCCUCUAGGCCCUCCACUAGAACCGUACCCCGACAUCGCUCGAAAAGCACACGGCCACAGGGGAACACUCUGGACUUGCGAGAUAUAUUGGAGGAUAAGGCAAGACAAUCAAGAUCGAUCUAUGGAUCGCGUGGGCGCCCCAUGAUACGUGAUGACAACCGUCGCGCCGGACACAGUAAGUCCGGCCGGGCCGAACACAAUAGACAAAGCUCUUUUGAACUUCAUCGUGAUAUCGCCCAAUACAGAGGCACCGCACACCCACUAUGCUUCACAGAUGAAGUAAUGGAUCAUCAAAUCCCCGAAGGGUUUAAACCCGUGAAUAUUGAAUCUUAUGAUGGCACAACAGACCCUGCGGUUUGGAUCGAAGACUAUCUCCUUCAUAUCCACAUGGCCCGCGGUGAUGAUCUUCACGCCAUCAAAUACCUCCCACUCAAGCUUAAAGGACCAGCCCGACAUUGGCUUAACAGCUUGCCAGCAGAGUCAAUUGGGAGUUGGGAAGACCUAGAAGCCGCAUUCCUCGAUAACUUCCAAGGCACGUAUGUGCGACCACCAGACGCUGACGACCUAAGCCAUGUAAUUCAGUAGCCAGACGAAUCGGCCAGACAAUUCUGGACACGGUUCUUAACUAAGAAAAAUCAAAUCAUCGACUGUCCAGAUGCGGAGGCCCUCGUGGCCUUCAAACAUAACAUCCGCGACGAAUGGCUUGCCCGGCACCUGGGACAGGAAAAGCCGAAAUCCAUGGCAGCCCUCACAUCACUCAUGACCCACUUCUGCGUAGGUGAGGACAGCUGGCUAGCACGCAGCAACAACCUCAGCAAAAAUUCUGGCAGUCCGGAUAUCAAGGACCGCAAUGGCAGGUCGCGUCGCUACAAAAACAAACGCCGCAUCAACGGCGACAAUAGUGAGGAUACGACAGUCAAUGCCGGAUUCAGAGGCUCUAAACCCGGUCAGCGGAAAAAGCCAUUCAAAAGUACUACUCCAGGUCCGUCCAAUUUGGAUCGAAUACUCGACCUCUCGUGCCAGAUACACGGCACCCCCGAAAAGCCAGCUAACCACACCAAUAGGGACUGUUGGGUAUUCAAGUAGGCAGGCAAGUUAAUUGCUGAAAACAACGACAAGGGGCUGCAUAGCGAUGAUGAGGAAGAGACCCGACCGCCAAACAAUAGAGGACAGAAGGGUUUCCCCCCACAAGUGCGGACGGUGAACAUGAUAUACGCAACCCACAUACCCAAAAGGGAGCGGAAGCGUGCACUCAGGGAUGUAUACGCGAUGGAGCCAGUCGCCCUGAAGUUCAAUCCAUGGUCCUCCUGCCCGAUCACUUUUGAUCGAAGGGACCACCCCACCAGCAUCCGCCACGGCGGAUUCACCGCAUUGGUUUUAGACCCAAUCGUCGAUCGAUUUCACCUCACCAGAGUCCUGAUGGACGGCAGCAGCAGCCUGAACCUGCUUUAUCAGGAUACAGUGUGCAAAAUGGGCAUAGACCCCUCAAGGAUUAAAAGACGACUGAGGGAGUCCUGGACUAGGGGGUGUCCGGAUUGCCGAACUAUCAUCAUCGGCCGGACUCCAAGACUAUGAAAAUACAAGAUUGAAGACUUCGUCCCGUGUCCGGAUGGGACUUUCCUUGGCGUGGAAGGCAAGCUUGGCGAUACGGAUAUGUAAAUUUCCUACCAUUGUAACCGACUCUGUGUAACCCUAGCCCUCUCCGAUGUCUAUAUUAACCGGAUGGCUUUAGUCCGUAGGACGAACAACAAUCAUACCAUAGGAUAGCUUCUAGGGUUUAGCCCCCUUGAUCUCGUGGUAUAUCUACUCUUGUAACACACAUCAUCAAUAUUAAUCAAGUAGGACGUAGGGUUUUACCUCCAUCAAGAGGGCCCGAACCUGGGUAAAACAUCGUGUCCCUUGUCUCCUGUUACCAUCCGCCUAGACGCACAGUUCGGGACCCCCUACCCGAGAUCCGCCAGUUUUGACAUCGACAGGACCUCUGUCCUUUUUUCACCCUCAACAAAGUGUAUAUGUCUUUUUGACACGUGGUGGAAACAACCAUUAUAGGCUGGAUCAUAUCUGAAUCCGGCUUUACCUUUGGUGCGGCUUAUGAUCAUAUCUGAAUCUAGCCAUGAUCACUUGGGGGCUUCCUAUUCAAACGUAGGUCGUAUCCGAACCAAAGAGAACAUAGCUGUCGAUACCUGCUUGAUCGGCAUACCGCCAAACCUACUUGGGGGCUUCUUGAUCAUAUUUGAAUCACAGCUUAACCCCUAUAGGUCUGACGUGGAUCGUAUACGAAUCAACAUCAUUAAACAAAUCUUAUGGUCACUUAGGGGCUUCCUGUUCAAACAUAGGUCGUAUUCGAACCAAAGAGAACAUAGCUGUCGAUACCCUUUUGAUCGGCAUCGCCAAACCAUUGUGGGCUAUAUGAUUGUAUCCGAAUCUUAGCUUAACCCCUUUGGAACGGUUUACUGAUCGUAUCCGAAUCAGAAGCCUGUAAAGUAUUUUGAUGAUCUUGAAACCUUGUGGAAAACAUUAUGAAAUGUUUUUUUCCUUGCCGGUUUAAUGUUUCGUCACCCCAGGUUGGUAAGUGCCGGGUGAAUAUUAUAUGAGCCGGGAAGAUUAUCAAAGGAUCGCAUGUAUGCUAUUAUGCUUAGGUUUAAACAACAUAAUCUUAAAUCAGCAUACAUAUACGUUUUUUUGGUUUGUGUUCCGGGUUAUCAAUACUUUCUGUGCAGAAUAAGGCAAGCAAAAUUUAAAAUGCCAAGGAAGUAAAAGCCAGAAAUAUACAACCAUGGCGGCUUAUGGAAAGCGGUAAGUGAUAAGAACAUGCACGGAGGCAUGAAGAGCAUUGGGAAGUUCUUUCUACCCUAUUACAAGACUCCUUGAGUCAGAAUAGAUGAAACAUUGUUUUUUAGCCAAACACCUGGCGAUUUAUUCCUUCGGCGGGCUUGAAGGCUCCGGGUUAUCCUUCUCCACUUCUCUGUCGGCUGUUUUGUCCUGGAAAGUUGACGAGGCCCAGUCAAUGCCGCUCAAAGCUUCAAACUCAGCUUCAUCAUCUAUUAAACCGGCCGGGUCCACUUCAGGGGCAAAAUUAUGCUUACGAAUUGGAGGGAUCAGGCUGAUCUGAUCAGAUGGAGCGUUUGGGAUUCUUCGGUUUUCACUGUCAUAAGCCGGCGCAUACUUGCUAAGGUCAGAGUCGUUUCCAAUAAGGGUUGCCACCGGACGUAUGGCUCUGACACAGGCGGUGAAAUCAUGAUCAUCAAAUGCAGUGCCGUCUUCCUUCAGACUUGGGUACCCAAGGGCAAGGUCGGCCGAGUCUAGUUCUGGGAGCCAUGCUUUAGCCCGGCUCAAUGCGGCCAUGGCCCCGGCUCUUGAGGACGCCCGCCUUAGGUCUUGGAUCCGCCGAGGAGAAAAGCGAGGCUCUUCAACACGUCUUGCAGAAGGCGGGGAUGUGGAGUUGAUAAAGCUACAACGGCCAAGGCGCGUUGUGACCCAGAGUACAUCUGUUCUACUAAGGUGUAAACUGCUUUAAGCUUGAUCAGCAUGUUUUGCUUCAGAUUGGUACUCCUGGGGCCUGUAUGGGCAUAAACAUGACCGUCAGCCGGAAGUAAUUAAUGCAAUAAUAAUUGUAAUGUUACAAUGUUUAAGGCUGUUUUCACAAAUAACUUACCGAAGAUGGCAGAGACCAUUUGAGAUAUAUGUUGUUUUAAGUCGGAUAGCUCGGUUGUUGCUUCUGCAAGGGAUGUUUCGGCUGUUUCGGCCCGAGUCACCAGAGAAGCCUUCUCACCAGCCCAAAUUUUCUUCUCCGACUCAAAUUUCUUCUUUAGUUUCUCAUUUUCAGAGACACCGAAUUCAAAUUUGGAGUUAGCCUUCUGUGUUUCAAGUUCUUGAGUUUCCAGAUGACUCUUCAGGACCGCAAGCUCUGAUUCAAACUGAUUUAUGGCAGCCUGCAUUACACCAGGUUAUGGUAAGGAUGAUAAGGUAACAUUAAAGUCUCAAGCACCUUACAAGUAAAGAUACUUGACACUUGGGGGCUAAUGUAUGCUGAAGAAUUUUAAACCUUCUCUUGCCGGGUCACAUAUAUUAAAGUCUCAAGUACCUUACAAGUAAAGAUACUUGACACUUGGGGGAUAAUGUGUAUUGCAAAUUUAAAAACCUUAUGUUAUAACCAGGUUAAGUAAAUUCUUUUUGAGCCGGAUAAGUUAACAAGUAUAGCAGAUUUCUAAAGUCUACAACAUAUUUGCUCAAUAAACAAUAGACUUGGGGGGUAGUACAGUAUGUAAGACUCAGGUAAAAAGUAUAAGUAAUACCUCGGAUUUGUGCUGUAUUUGUUUCACCAUGUCAAUUUCCAGGUCACGGCUGUUAUGCACUUGAUUCAGAUAGCCCGAGACUAUAUCACCAAUGCUUAAGUGAGUAUAAUCAGUAAGGUUCUUCUUGGCUUUUCGGCGUUGGGCAAAUUCCUCCUUGGCGGUACAUUUGGCAAGGACGGUAGGCCGUCCGGGUUCAACAAACUGAGAUUUCACAAUCUCAACUUCCGGUUCAUUUGUUUUGACCGGGCUAGGAGUUUUCGGGUCACUUGCAUGGAGAGUAUCUUCGGCAGGUGGAUCAGAAGUUGGCAUUGGAAUAUCAUAAGCCGGAUCUGGCGGUGGCUGAUGGGCAGAGUUGUCUGGAACAGAUGCAUUAAUCACUGGUUCGGUUACGACCAGUUCUUCGGAUGGUUUAUUCUUCUUUACCCGUUUACUGG